rnacentral:lncRNA from 1 species
CCUAACCAAAUCUUAAUAAAAUCUUAAUCAAAUUUUAACUAAACUAUAAUCAAAAUUUAAUUAAAUUCUAACAAGAUCCUAAAAAAGUUUAAAGUAGAUUGUAAUCAAUCUCUAUUAAUACUAAUCAAAUAUAUUGAUCUUAAUUAAUACUAAUCAAACCAUUCAUCUUAACUCAAAUUUCAUCUACAUUUCAAUUUACAACCAAUUAAAAGGUACAUAAAAUUUUAAAAAAAUUAAACUCACUAAUUAAAAUAAAAGCUCUUAAAACUUUCAAAAGUUAAAAGCCAUCAUUCUCUAAUCCAAAUGUUGAUCUUUUAGUAGAGAUUUUUCCUUACUAAACUAUUAAAUUGUUUCAAAGUUUGACUUAUGUGUAGAUUUUUAAGUCUAGAUUGCUAUUACCAAAUUUUGCUUUAAUUGAAUUAGUAAAUUUUUUGGAUUAUAAAAACCCUCAUUAAUCCUAAAUUUUAAAACUUUGAGAUCCUAAUCCAAUCAAAUUCUCUUAUCCUUAAAUCUAAUUAUUUGAUCACUUUUAAAUUUUUUAAAAAUAUUAAAAGCAAGUACAAGAAAAAAAAACUUACAAAAUUUCAUCUAUAUACAUGCUAUGAGAUUCACAAAAUAAUCAAAAUUAUAAACUAAUUUUUAUUUUUCAAAAUCCAAAACUACUAUGUACAACUGUAGAAUAGAUAUUAAUUCAUUUUUGAAAGAUAUUUAUAAAAUAUAUUAAUAGUCCAUACAAUAAGAAAUUCAGGAGGACAGAUGAGUGAUUUAGUUAUUAAAAAUGGUUAAUUACAAAAUUACGGUUAGGAUCUAAAGAAUUAGGGAAAAGUAUAUAGGAGUUGUAGAAGUUAAUUAGGAUGCCAGAGUGUAAGAGUCGUGAGCCGAGGGCCAUUGUUGUGAUAGUGUGAGCUGGGGUAAGCUUGGUGCUAUUUCUUCUCUUUUGUUUGUUAUUUUCUUUGAAUAAGAGGAUUGAGAGUUUCUGAAUAUUGUGAAGUGAAUUAUGGAAUGGAAAUGUGAUUGGUAUUAUUUGAGAAGAAGAAAGAUUCAAUGCUGAAAUCUAAUUGUAGUUCAACAAAGAGAAUGAGUCUGUGUUUGUGUGAAACACUGUAAUGUGAAUGGCAGUUCUGUGUGAAGAAUUCCAAUGAUUGGAACGAGGGUAAUUGUGUGCUGAAAGCUGUGAGGGUGCAGUAUUACAGUUGGAGAUUAUGAAGGUGAAUAUAUUGGUGGAAAUAGCAGUUGUUGGUAUGAUUGAAUUGCUAUAAGGAAGAGAUCGAUAAGGUGAAGGAGGAGAUUAUUGUUUCCUUGUGUGUUUAGAUAUUGGAAAUAGAGACGAUACAUUCAGGAGGUAAUUGAUUGUGUAACCCUAACGUAAAUGCUUAAGCAACUAGUCAUUCCCCAUAUUUGAAUCCCCCUAUACGGGUUUAUGCUCGGAGGUUUCUUCUGGAAUAAGUAAAAUGAACAAUCACAACAACUCUUACUUUGAAAAGCCCUUAAAAAUUCAAUAUGUCUCUAAAAUACAUAAAACUAGGUAUCUAAAAAUCUCUCACUAAUCUCAUCUCAAAUCCUACUUUUUAAUCAACCAAAAAAUCUUAGAAUUGCCAUAGGUGUGCAAUUUUGUACCUCACAAUUUGAUUUUCAUCUUAAUUUACAAUUGAUCCUCUUUGGAUAUUAAUCUUUAUUAUUUUAGGAUAAAUUUUACUAAAAUAUAUUAUUAAAUUCUUUCUAAAGAUGUAUAUUUAAUUUUUUUUUCUUAAUCUACUUUUUUUUUCUAUUUAUGGUCUUAUAAAGUAAGUAGAAGCAUUUUUUCAAGAAGGUAGCAUGAAUAAUUAUUAAUUUUUAUUACCUCAUUAUCUAUUAAUUAUAUUUUUUAAUUUAAAAUUAUUUAUAUUUCUAAUUUUAUAAUACAUAUUUCUAAGUUUUUUUGACACAUGAAAAAUAUGAAAAUUAUGCUUUUUAUAUUAUCUUAGAAUAGAUGAAAAUAUUAUUUAGAUAAUAAAUAACAAAAUAAUCUAAAACUUCUUCAAAAAUAUCAUUUAUUAGAUAUUAAAAAGCAAUUGGUAUAUUUGUGAAUUCAAAUAAUAUGACAUUAUAUUCAAAAUGCAAUCUUUAAUUUUGGUUUUUUUUUUUUUUUUUUUUAUGUAUGCUAGUUGUCAUGAACAUACAUAUUUAUCUAAAUAAGAAGUGUGAGUCAUCAAAUCAAUUCAUUAGUUGUUUUAGGAUAAAAAGAUGUAUUUAAAGUACUUAGAAUCAUAAUAUAUGGUGAAUAGUAUAGAAAUAUUUAGAAAAAUAGAAAAUUAGAGUGCUUGUUGUAGAAUUAGAAUCUUAGUAAGACUUGGAGGCAAUUAUGUUAGUUGGUUUAGUAUUUUUUAAUUAAUAUUGAGUAUUGAAGAUUAUUUAUUGAGGUCAAUAUUUAUAUUGAUCUUUUAUCUAUAUAUAUUACUUAUAAGAAAAACUAUAAAUUUUAGUUAGUAGUUAGAAGAAGCAUGAAAAAGAACUUCAUGUCUUUUUAGUUAGAUAUAUAAAAAGUAAGAUUAAUAGUAGUUUUAAAUUGAUUUUAUUAUUAUAAAAAAUUAUCAAUACAAGAAAUUAUAGCCUUAAACUGAUUUUAUUAUUAUGGAAUCAUUAUAAGAAUUUUUAGAAUUUUUUUAGAUUUUUUUUAGAGUUGUUUUAGGAAUUUUUAGAGCAAUUUCAAAGACUUUGAUAAAAAUGAGUUUUAUCACUUUGGAAGCCAUAAUGAAGAACUGGAGCAAGAUUUGAAGGCCAAAAUUAAUUUUUAUGCUAAUUGGAUGUUUUUAAACACCAUGGUGAAGUCAAAAAUACAAAAUUAUUGAUUUUACUAGUAGAAAGUAGGAGGACCAGCAGCUAGUGUAGUCCUUUUAAGAAGGGAGAUACACAAGUCUCAUAUAGGUUGUAGCACCUUGAAGGUAGUUAAGAAGAUAAGACUAAGACAUCGUGGCCUUUUUUAUCAAUCCAUGUAGACUAUUUGUGAGCCUUGGUGAAGCUUGAAGUCCUGAUCUCUUAAGCAAGUUAUCUUUGAAGUAAAAAUUAUUUACUUAACUUUUCAUUUAUUUACUUGUUAUUUUUUAAACCUUCAUAACUUAUUCAUAGUAACUCGGAUUUAAAUGUUUCUUAUACCAUUAAAAAUAUAAAAAAAAUAAAUUUCUAAAAAUAUUUUUUAAAAUUUUUUAUUGGAUAAAAAAUUAAUAAAUAAAUUGUGACUAGUUUUAUAGUGUACAAUUAUUUGAUUGCACUUCUUCCACUUGUUUUGUAUUUUACUUCUUUUUUUCUUGUUCUUGAUACUUUCACUUUAUACCAUCUAUUACAAAUAACUCUUAAUUGAGGCCAUCUUAUAAUUGGAUUGAGGAGUAAAUUUUAUACUCAUAAGAAGUAUUAGGUAGAAAAUAAAUAUAGAUAGAUUAGAUAUUAUGUUGUAGAAAAGCUUCUUAGAAGCUUCACAGAUGUAUAUUUGACUUUAUACAUAUUUAUAAUUGAUUGACAGGUUAAAAACUUGGCCAAAAAAUUAUCUAUGUGUUGAUUAUAUACAUAACUUGUGUUAUAAGCUAAUAACAUGGUUGUAUAUAAGAAACUUACCUUGCAAGUUAAGAUAUGUGUCUUACAAAUUAGACAUGUAUUGGAGGUUUUUAGGACAUUGCCACAUAGCUCAUAGUUAGAUAGUAUAUAUAGAGGUAAGAGUGAAGCCUUCUACACUCAUGUCAAUGUUUUUCUAGUCCUUAGUCUUAUUUCAAGACUUUCUAGAUUUCUUAUCUUUGGCAAUAGCCAUUCUAUUUCAAUAUAUUAUCAUCUUUGAAUAAUUUUUUAUUCUUUUUCAAUGACAUAAGAAUAUGUUUAUUUUUUUUUAUUUUUUUUUAUUUUUUAAGAUUCAUGUCCUUAAUAAUUUAAAAAGAGUGUUAACUUAUUAUCUUUAUUUUGUAUUAGAAGUGAAUUGAUUACUCUACUUCUAUUGUUACAUUUAGAAGGUUGUAAACUAUCCAUCUUUAAAGUCACUUUUAAUUUUUGAAUAUUGAUUGUUUUUUUUUAAAAAGAAUGGAAUACCUUUUUUAAAAAAAAAUAAUUUUAUAUUAAAGGUUACAAAUUACCUUGUUCUAAUUUAACUUACAGAUUUUUUUUGAAUUAUCUAUAAAAAAAAAAAAAAAAAAAAAAAAAAAAUCAUAAAUGAUACUCUUUGUGGAAUUGAGAAUAGAUUUACAACCAUUGCACAUCUUCACAAGCUUGUCUAUACUUUGAGGGUAGAAAUCUCAUGUAUCUCUAACAUCAACUAUGAAAGUAGUAUUUUGAUGCUUAUAGAAUAAAUCAACAAUAAAAUUCAAAAUAUAUACUAAGAAGUUGUAUAAUUGAGAGAAGCAAGUAAAUCAACUUCACAACUAAAUCCAAUUAGUCUUUCUAUUCAAAAUAUGAGAGAGGUAAGGAUAAAUAUGCUUGAGAAGUUCAUUGGAAUAAGACAAAAUUUUAAAGAUUUUUACAAGUAAAAUUUUAUCUAAUAUUAUAUCUUUCUUAAUAUCCUAAUGGAUUUAUUCAAGUUAGAUUCAUAUGUAUACUUCUCUCUAGGAAUGCUCUCUCUUAAUUUGUACUUUUGAUGGAAAAAGAUUCAUGUCUUUUCAAUGAUUUGAAUUCAUUCUUAAAAGUAUUUAUGAUCACUUUUGGAGAAAGUGAUCAAAAAAUGGAAGCAAAAAUCAAAAUUAUAUCUUUAAGGCAAAGAUCAUAUUUAGCUAUUAAAUAUACUACAUAAUUCCAAAAUCUUAUUUGUAAUAUAAAUUAGAAUAAUAAAGUAUUUAUUAAUCAAUUUUAAAAUGGGCUAAAAGAUAAUGUCAAAGUUUUUUUUUUGAUAAUGCUAAAAACAAACUCAUUAGAAUAAUUUAUUAUUGAAGUCAUUCCAUGCAAAAAUUGACUCUUUGAAAGCUGUCAAGAAUUAAGAUUUUGUUGGAAAGGUAAAAAUCUAGAUAUGGCAAUAGUCUCUAAAUUUACAAAAAUUUAUUCAUCAAGAUUGGAAUCUAUGCAAAUUGAUACAAUAUAUUUCAAGCCUCUUAUUAUACAAAAAAAAACUUAAUGCCAUCACGAAUGUUUAUGCUUUUAUUAUGAAGAAUCUAAAUACACUAUUCAAUAUUGUCUAAAGAAGCAAUGCAACCACAAAAUGAGGAGUAUAAUUUCCAAAGAAGAAAAUGUAUCAAAAAACAAAUUUUUUCAACUCUAAUAAAGACCAUGUGAUUAGAAUCUUAUAUAACACUUAAUAAAGGUCAUAUUUUUUCUUUAAAUCCUUCACCUUAUUUUAUAAUAGAAGUUUGUUUGAAAUCAAAAAAUCACAAAGUCUUUGCCUUACUAGAUCCAAGAGCCUCAACUUAUUUUAUAGACAAAGUCUUCAUUAAAAAAUAAGAAAUAUCUUUAGUCAAAAAAACAUUCAUACAAGUAGAAGUCAUAGAUAGUCAUUUGUUGUCCUCUAGAGACAUUAUCUAUAAAACUGUUCUUUUAGAUGUAGCAACUAAAUAUCAUAAUACCUUAGUAAUAUUCAAUGUUAUUAGAUUUCCAUCCAACCUUGUUAUUUUAGGAUUAAUCUAAAAAAGCACAAUCCUCAAAUACAUUAGACCCUUUAUAACCUUAAUUUUUUCUAUAGUUUAAUCUAGGAUCUUGUUAGUCAAGUAGAAAUCAACAUGUCCAAUACAAUCAAACCUUUAUUAGUAGGUGCAAGAACUUUCAUGCAUGCAAUAAAAGAAGGAUCAAUUUUUGCUAUAUACGACAUAUCUAUUUUUAAUAAAAAAAUCUUUAAGUGGCAUUCUAAGCUAGUACUCAGAUUAUCAAGAUAUUUUUUAAAACAAAAUACAAAUAUUAUUUUAGAACAUUGUUCAUAUGACUAUUCUAUUGAUCUUCUAGACAAAGCUCAACCACCAUUUGGAAUAAUUUAUAAAAUAUCACAAAAUAAGUUAUUUGUACUUAAGAAGUAUAAUUAUAAAAAUUUGGCUAAAAAUCUCAUAUGCUAUUUUAAAUCUUUAGCAAAGAUUUCUAUCUUAUUUGUAAAGAAAAAAGAUGGAUCCUUAUAAAUGUGUAAAGACUAUUGAUGAUUCAACAAGAUUACCAUCAAAAUAUCAAAAACAUAAAUAUUAAAGGACCAAAAAUUUAAUAAAAUCUUACAUAACUCAAAAAAUAAAUAAAUAAAUAAAAAUCACUCAAAACUAAUAUAGUAUUAAAACUUGAAUGGCUAUUGCCAAAAAAAAAAGAUUAAAAAGGCUUGAAAUAAGACUAAGAACUAGAAAGACAUUGAUAAGAGUAAAGAAGGCUUCAAUCUUGCUUCCAUAUAUACCAUCUAACUAGAUGCUAUUUGGCAAUGUUCUAUAGGACUGCCAACACGUAUCUAACUUGUAAGAUAUAUGGCUAACUUAUAAGUUAAGUUUUCUAUAUAUACACCAAAUAGUAAAUAUGUGCAACAUGGGGCUAACUUAUUGGCUAAAUUUUUAUUCUACCAAUCAGUUAUAAAUACGUCUAAAGUCAAAUAUAGAUCUAUGAAGCUUUUAAAAAGCUUAGCUAUAAGAUAAUAUCAAAUCUACUUAUAUUUAUUUUUUAUCUAAUAUUUUUUAUCCAACUAAAUAUAUAUGUCUAUAACACACAAAUAUACAUCCUUUAUCUUUGGUUUUAAGACUUCUUUGUCAAUUCAAUUAAAUAAAGAUUUAUACCAAAAUAGAUCAAUAAACAACAUAUAAUCUCAUAUGCAUUAAAGAAGGAGAUGAAUGGAAGACUACAUUUCAAACUAAGUAUGGAAAUUUUAAAUAUAAUCUCAUGCUUUUUGGACUUAUGAAUGUACCAACUACUUUUCAACAUCUAAUGAAUGAUAUCUUUUUUAAGUUUCUUCAUGACUUUAUCAUCUAUUAUCUAGAAAAUAUUUUAAUCUAUUUUAAGAUUAUAAAGAGUAUAAAUUUUAUGUUUGUCAUGUGAUAUAAAAACUAAAAGAUGUAAGAUUAUAUGCCAAAAUAAAAUAAAAAAAUAUAUAUAUUUUAAAUUAUUCAAAUUAACUUCUUAACAUAUAUCAUUUCAAAUGAUGGCCUUAUGAUGGAUCCUAAAAAAGUCUAAACUAUCAUAGAUUAUAAGAUUCUAAAGAUAGUCAACAAUUUAAUUUUUUUAAAAUUUUUCAAUUAUUAUCCAAAUCUUCAUUAAAAACUUUUUUCAAGUUGCAAUUCUUCUUAUAUCUCUAAUAUAUAAAGGAAAACUUAAUUAGAAAAAUAAAUUUAAAUAUCUUUUGAAGUAUUGAAGACAAUAUAUAUUUUUAUAUCAAUCUUGUAUUGCAUUGAUUUUUUUAAAAUAUUUUUUAUUGAAAAAAAUACAUUAAACUUUUCUAAAGAUAUAAUUUGUCACAAAUAGGAAAAAAUGAUAAAUUUUAUUUGAUAAAUUUUUAUUUUAAAAAAAAUUUAGCAACCAAAAUUAAUUAUAAGAUAUAUAUAUAUAAAAAAAAAAAAAAAAAAAAAAAAAAAAAAAAAAAAAUCUUAUAAUUAUAUAUUCAUUUUAAGAAUAAUAUCAUUAUUUAUAAGGUAUUUUUAAUUUAGAAAUUAUACUACUGCAUUAUAAGCAUUUCAAGUACUUCAUGUCAACACAUAUUUUGAAUCAUUGUCAAGUCCAUUAGAGCAUGUUAUGUGUGUAAAUUUUCAAUCCUCAAUCCAAGUUACAAGAUGGCCUAAACUAAGAAUUGCUUGUAAUUUGUAGUAUGAAGUGAAGUAGGCAAUUAAAAAGAACAAAAGAAGAACAACUACAAAGCAAUAGAAAUAAAUGACAUGAUGUAAUUACAACACCCAAGACUAAGUUAUAGUCUGUUCACUGUGUUUUUAUCCAAUAAAAAGUAAAAAUAAAAAAUAAAAAAUAUAUUUUUAUAUAGAUAAUUUUAUUGUCUUUCCAAUGAUAUAAGAAACAUGUAAAUCCGAAUUACUAUGAAUAAGUUGUGAGGUUUUAAAGAUAUGAAGUAAAUAAUUAAAAAAUGAAGUAAAAAUAUUUUACCUCAAAAGUAACUUGCUUAUAGAUCAAGGGUUCGAGCCUCACCAAGACUCAUAUGUAGUAUAUAAGGGUAUCUAAGAGAGGCCACAAGGCUUUAAUCUUAUCCUCCUAACUACCUUCAAGGUGCUACAACCAAUAUGGGACUUGUGUACUACCCUUCCUACAAAGACUAUACUAGUUGCUGGUCCUCCUAUUUUCUACCAGAAGGACCAACAUUUUUAUAAUUUUGACCUCAUCAUGGUGUUCAAAAAUAUCCUAUUAGCCUGGGAACCUUGUGUGGCACUGAAAUCUUGCUCCAUUUCUUCAUAAAGGCUCCCAAAGUAAUUAAACUCAUUUUAACCAAGAUCUUAAAAAUUACUCUAAAAAUUUCUAAAUAAUUCUAAAUAAAUUCUAAAUAAAAUUUUUAAAAAUAAUAAUAUUUUUAUAAUUAUAAUAUCCAUUUAAGGAUAUAUUUUUCUAUCUUAAUGAUUUUUGAUAAUAAUAAAAAUUAAUUUAAAUCCAUUAUAAAUCUUAUUUUUUAUAUCAAUAACUAAAAUGAGAUGAGGUUCUUUCUCAUGCUUCUUCUAACUACUAACAUUUAUAGUUUUUAUAAGUAGUACAUAUAGAUGAAGACCAAUAUAAAUAUUGGUUUUAAUAAAUAAUCCUUAAUAUUCAAUAAUAAAAUAAAAAUACUAAACUAAUGAGUAUAAUUGCCUCCAAGACUUACUAAGAUUCUAUUUCCACCACUAACAUUUUAAUUUUCUAUUUUUCUAAGGAUUUCUACACUAAUCACUAUAUAUUGUGAUUUAAAUCAUUCUAAAUGUAAAUUUUUAUUCUAAAAUAAUAAGUGAGUUAAUUUGAUGACUCACACAUGUCUUUAUUAAUAUUUUAUUUCAAUUUUAUUUAUUGAUAUAAAAAAAUAAGAUUUAAAAGAUGUCUUAUUUAAACAUUCUUAUCUUUCAUCCAAAGAAAAAAAAUGCAGCCUUUGAUCAACAAAGAACAAUUUUCUUAAAGAUAGAGCAUUUUCAUCUUUAAAUAAUGAACAUUUUUCAAGCAAGUUCAAUUGAGUAAGCCCUAUAAUCUUCUUGUUUAUGAUAUUAAGAGAAAAAAAUUAAGUCUCAUGAGACUUCUAAAUUUGAAUCCAAAAAUAAUCUAUUCUAUUUUGAGGAAUGAUUAUGUAUUCUUGAUGAUAAAGCAUGAUUAUAUAUUCUUCAAGCUCAACAUGAUUUUUCAAUAACUAGACAUUUUAAAUACAACAAGACUUAAUAGCUAAUAUCUAGAGAUUUUUAGUAGCAUCAAUUAUAGAAAGCAGUUUAAGACUUUGUACAGUCAUGUGAUAUUUAUUUAAAAUCAAAAAUUCCUUGUCAUUGAUCUUAUAUACUUCUUUAAUCAUUAUCUAUUUCAAAAAAAUUAUAAUAUUUAUUUCUAUGGAUUUUAUUAUCAAUCUUUUAAUCUCAAGUUUGUAUGAUUUUAUAUUUGUGAUAGUAGAUCAAUUCACUAAGAUAGCAUAUUUUAUACCAUAUACAAAAUCUAUCAUUGGUGAAGAAAUAAUUAAGUUUUUUAUUGACAACAUCUGCUACCAUCAAGAAUUAUUUAGAAAUAUCAUAUCAAAUAUGAAGACUCAAUAUGUAUCAAGAUUUUAAAAAAUCUUUUUUGAGAUUUUAAAGAUAAAUAUAAAGCUAUCUUUGACUUUUUAACUCUAAAUUAAUAAAUAAAAAAGUGUAUAAAUCAAGUUUUGAAAUAAUAUUUGAGUUGUGCUAUCAAUUAUCAAUAAGUUAACUGAAUAAUUCUUUUAUCAUUAAUAAAUUUUGCUUAUAAUAAUAUAGUAUAUUUUUUUAUUCAAUAAACAUCUUUCUUUAUUAAUUAUAAUUAUCAUCUACAACUUGAUACUUUUGACUUCUCAAAAGUUGAUAAUCCUUGAUAAAAGAUUUGAGAAAUCAUUUAUUUGAGCUAUAUACAACAAUAAAGCCAUAAUCAACCAUUUCUUAUUUGUAAACAAAUCAAUCUAUUUACUUAUUGAUUAUAUCUAUCAAAGUCUAUGAAGAUCCAUCUUAUAUUUGUCUUAUUUCUUCUUAAGUCAUAUAAAAUAGCGAAUAUCUCAAGAAAAAAAGAAAUGCCACUUCUUCCUAUGAAAGAAGAUAAUAAUUAAGAGUUUGAAGUGAAAAGAGUUUUAAAUUUGAGGCAGUGCCAAAAUAAGUUAGAAUAUCUUAUUCAUUAGUAUAAAUAUGAUAUUAGUGAAUACAUAUGAGAGUUAACUAAGAAUCUUACAAAUGUAGAAAAAGAAGUUGAUAGUUUUCAUUGAUGACAUCUAUCAAAAUCAAGAUAAAAAAUAAUAAAUCUUUGCUAUAAAAAAUAACACUUAAAAAAAUUACAUUUCACCUUCUAUCUUUAUUUUUAGUUUAUAUGUAGCAUUAAGAAGAUGAAGAAUCAACAUCCAAUAGAUUCAACUCAAAAGUCUUUGUUUGCUAACUUAAUAAAUAAAAUAUUAUAAUUAUUAUAGCCUUUGAAACAACAUAAUUGACAUGAGGACCUUCAAGAAUGAUAAGUUCUUCUCUAAAUAGAUUACAAAAUAUAAUAUAUUUGAUAUAAUAACUUUUGAAGAGAUUCUUGAUGUUUGGUGAUUUUAUCAAAGGUAUAAAUGACUCUUGAUGGUCUUACAAAUGUUUUAUUUAAAGGAAGUUAUAAAACCCUCAACAAUAACCAAAUAAUAUUGUGAUCUUCUUGCUUUUGAAUGCGACAUUAUUGAUGGAUGAUAGGACCUAUCAACCACCUUCAAAAAGAAAUAAGAUUAGAAUAUGUAACAAACAUAAUUCGCCACAUCUUAAACUUUUCAACAUAUAAUGACUGCUCUUUAUGGAAUUCAUUUCAAGAAAGAGAAAUAAUGUUAUGGAUAUAUACAUUUAUUUAAAUAAGAAGCGUUAAGUAGAAGAUAAAUAUAAGUAGAUUUGAUUUUAUAUUAUGGUAAAUCUUUUUAGAAACUUUAUAGAUACAUAUUUGAUUUUAUUCAUAUUUAUAGUUGAUUGAUACGUUAAAAACUUUGUCAACAAAUUAGCCAUGUAAUGCAUGUAUAGAUAGCUUGUAGUACAAUUAAUAUUGUGGUGCAUAUAUAAGAAACUUGCUUUGCGAGUUAUAACACAUGUCUUGCAAAUUGAAUACAUAUUAGAGGUCUUAUAGGACGUCACCAUGUAGCUCCUAGUUAGAUAGUAUAUAUAGAACCAAGACUAAAGCCUUCUUCAUUCUUAUCAAUGUCUUUUUCAUUUUUAAUCUUAUUUCAAGACUUUUUAGUCUUCUUGUCUUUAGCAAUAGCCAUUAUAGUUCAAUAUAUUAUCAUCUUUGAGUGAUUUUCUAAUUUUUUAAAGUAACAUAAGAAUAUUGAGAUUUUUUUUUUUUUUUUAAGUUCAAGUCCUUCAUACUAGACUAUAUGAUCCUUCUAGAUCUUUUUUGUAUAAAUUAUUAUUUAAUUCAAUAAUAAAUUUUAGUACUAAUAAUAAAAGAUGUUUAUUUUUUAUGGUAAUUUUAUUAAGUGUUAAUAAUCUAUACAUAUUUAUAAUAAUCAAUCUUUUUUCUUUAUAUGAUAAAAACUCUUGCUUGAGAUUUUGAAUGGCAUAUGAAGUUCUUAGCUAUAUUCUCAUUAAUAUAUUCUUUGAAUGGAAUCUAUUUAUUCUAUGAUAAGCUAUAGAUUGAUCCAAAUGGUAGUUGAAUUUUUUUUAAAGACCAAUUGAAUAAUUAUAAGAAUAAUGUUGUAAAAUAAUAUUUAUAUAUUUUUCAAAAAAGUCUUGAUAAUUAUAAUAAUAGCUUAAAUUAAUAAUUAAAGUCUUUCUAUCAUUAAAAAUGGAUGUAGCAUAAAUAAAUAAAUAAAAGUGUGACUUCUCUUUUGCAACAUGCACACAAGCUCUUACACGUCUUUAAUAAAAGAAUAGUUGUACUAGAUUUAUAACUUUCUACUUGAAUAAUAAAAUUUUGAAUUAUUAUGUGGAUUAAAUUACUAUUAUUAGAAAUUUAGUCCAUUUAAAGAUUAUACUUCUUUAACCAUAAUAAACUUAAAAUAAUUAAGUUGGAAGAAAAUAUAAUAAUAUUAAAUAUUAUUAAUCCAUUAUUUUAUUAAUUAUUAUAUCUAAGAGAUAGUUUCAUAGAUAAUAUCUCCAAAAUAUAUCUAUAUAUAUAUAUAUAUAUAUAUAUAUAUAUAUUUAUGAUUCUUAUAAGUACAAGUUUAAUUUUUUUUAUUAAGAAAUUUAUUUUAUUUUUAAAAUUAUUAUUAUUUAAAAAAAUUAUAAAUAAAAUGACCUAAUACUUUGGAAUCUAAUAAGAUAAAAAAAAAAAAUAUUUUUUGAUCUUAAAUAGAUAUCUAUUAUAAGACUAAAUAAUUACUACAACAAAUUUAAUUCUACUACAACAAAGUUAAUUACUCAGUUGGAGUAGAAUAAACUUAUUUUUUGAUACAUUGUGUUAUUUGACGACUAAGGUCUUCAUUUUAAAAUUAUUUUUCUUCUUUAGAUAAUAUUAAGUUGUAUGCUUAGGUUCUCUAUAAUUUAUGCACAAUAUUUCUUGACAACAUCAAGUCUUUUCUUGCUCCAUGAUAGAUUUCAAAUGUACCAUUUUAAUUUUCAUAAGUUUUGGCUUCAAUAAAUAAGUUAUUAAAAGCUUUGGAGUUGUUGUCAAGACUUAACUUAUAUCUCUUCAACCAAAUAUUUGUUCUUGGUGUCUUUCAAAAAAUUAAUUGUUGCUUGUAAUGGCUUAAGCAAUAAAUUCAUUCAAAGAGUUGGUUUUUGGCAUUGUCAAUAAUAAAUCUUUAAUAUUAUCUUUUAAUUCAUAUUAAAAUUAAUUGAUAAGAACUUUGUCAUUUCAAUCUAUAUUGUAAGCAAGGUUUAAGAAUUCAAAAGCAUAUAUAGUAUCUAAAUUUGAUCUAUUGUAAAAAUAGGAGUUUAGUUUCUAAUAUUCUUUCUAAAUUACUUUCUUCCAAUGUGGCUAUAAACACUUUUAAGAAUGAAUUUAGAUCAUACAAGAGUCACAAAUCUUUUUUUAUGAGAGAUGCAAAUGAAAAGAGAGUAUUUUGAAAUAAAAGUACGUUUAUGACUCUAACUUAAGUAAAUCUAUUAGGAUACUAAGAAGAAUAUAAAAUUAAAUAGAACUUAGCUUGUUGUAGAAAUCCUCAAAAUCUAGACCUUAUUCUAUCAAACUUCUCUACCAUAUUAAUCUUUGAUCCCCUUAUACUUAUAAUAAUAAGAAUUUUAAGAUUAAUUUUUGAGAUAGAUCUAUUUAUUUCUUUCAAAUGUAUAAUUUCUUGGCAUAGAUUUUGAACUUCAUUAUUAACUUCUUCUAUAGGUAUAGGAAUAGUACCUUCAUAGUUGACGUUGAUAAUAUGUGAGAUUUUUACCUUAAGAUUAUUCACAAACUAGAGAAGAUUUGCAAUAAUUACAAAUCUAUUCUCACUAUUACAAAGUUUAGCAUAAUUUCCAUAAAGAAAUAUAGUCCACUUUCUUUAAAGAUAGAAUAGUUAUUAAAAAAAAAAAAAAAAAAAAAAAUGUUGGUUUCAAGGAGGGUAGUUUGCAACCUUUAAGACUCAACAAAUCAACCAGGAUAAUCUUUUUACUUUUAAAACAAAACAAGAAUAAUGAAUUAGCAUUCUUGACAAACUGCCAAAGACAUGAAUUACAAAAAAUAAAAGAUCAAUAUAUUCUUAUAUUACUAGAUAAAAAUAGAUAAUCACUCCAAGAUGGUAUAAUAUUAAGUUAUAAUGACUAUUACCAAAGACUAGAAAAUAAGAGGAUCUUGAAUAAGACUAAGAAUAAAAAAGACAUUGAUAAAAAUAAAGAAGAUUCUAUUUUUGAUUCUAUAUAUAUACUAUCUAUUUAGAAGCUAUGUGGCAAUAUUUUGCAUGAUCUCUAACACAUAUUCUAUUUGUAAGAUACGUAUCUAACUUGUAAGAUACGUAUCUAACUUGUAAGAUAAGUUUUCUAUAUGUGUGUCAUAUUGCCAAUUUUAUUUUUAUUUAAAUAAAUAAAAUAUUUUAUAAUUUAAUAUAAAAAUAAAAAUAAUUUCUUUUAUAUACAUUUUUUAAAAAAAUUAUUAAUGCUACAUCUCUAUUUGAUAUUGAUAUAUCCAAUGUGACCUUCACACAACUUAAUUCGACUAGAAAGUGCACUUUUAUACUUACUAUGAAUUUAGCACUUUAAUAUUUGAUUCUAAUAUUGAUUAAAAAAUGGAAUAAAUUAAAAAUUGGCUUUUGAUAGCCAAAUCAAUAUUAAUAAUAAAAUAUUUUUAAAUUAAAAUAUUUUUAGAAUAUUUUUUUUUCUUUGAAAAAAUAUCUUACAAUCUAUUUUUUAUAAAAUAUUCAUUAUUUACCUCUCAACCACCAUUCUUUUUAAAGAAAAGAAAGAAAAAUAUAUAAAAAGGAUGCAUAUUAUUAGCUAAUUUUUUACAAUUGGAUCACAUGGAAUAUAGCAAUAUCAAUUAAAGAUGUAGUGAUAUCAAUUGGAGAUGUAGCAUUUUCAAUUCUCUUCAAAAAUGAAAAACAAAUCUUCUCUAAAUAAAUAAUUUGAAAAAAAAAUUAUUAUAUAUCACAAGUAUAUUAUAAGAAUCUUAGUAUAUCAAAAUAGUCUACUUAAUAAAUAUAAAAAUCAAUUACUCCUUUGAUUUCCAAAAAAAAAAAAAAAAAAAAAAAAAAAACUUUAUUAUAAAUUAGAGAUUGAACCAUAUAUUUUUUUUAAUAGUGACUAAGUAUGCAUCAAUAGUUUUUUCACAACAUGGUGAAAUUCAUCAUGGAUGUAGGAGAGGUGUGCUCUUUGGAUCAAUUUGUCACACUUGAAAUGUAUUUUCAUUUCUAUGAAAGUGGACUAUCUGUUAAAAAAACUAUAGAUCAUGUUUUCUAAGCUUAUUAAUUAUGUAGAAUCAUUAGAAUAAGUAAGUGGCAUGCACAAUCUUCAAAACUUCAAAAGACAGUUGUAGAAAAUAAAACACUCUACAUUCAUAUUCAAUGCAAGUUGAACUGUAUUCAAAGAACUUUAGAUAAGAUUGCUAAUUUAAAAGUAUGAUGAAAACACACACUAAAAUUAAAGAAACCACAUGAAAUCAAAAAGCACAAACAAAAUGAAAAAGGGAUAUCGAUUCCACUUCAAAAGUACAAACAGAACUCGUCUUAGAGCAACAAUUUCUGCACAACGAAGCCAGAGUAUCUCUGAAGAAACAAAGUUUUACUUUAAAGUAAGUUAAAAGUUAAAGGUGAUGCGAUGUGAGCGCAAACCCGUUGUAGCGGGUACCCAAGCCCGCGAAAAACACAGGCCUCCGCCUUCGUGCGAGGCGGACGGGGCGUGGGGGCGAAGACGAAUCCUUGGAGCCGCAUGACGAGGUUGAGACCCCGCCGCGCUCAUGCUCGUCGCCGUGCCUGUUGUUGUGGAUAAGCAAGCAACAGCGUUGCACCACCCAAACCCACCUCCGCUGUGCCCCUCCCUCCCCGUCCCUUCCUCGGGGAAUAUACCUCCUCUACGCCUCCCUUGGCUCGCUGACAGUUUGCGUAUCUCGCGAAUGAGUGGCUCCGUCACUCGAACGAAACGUCUCACUUGUGGCGAGCUCCCCGAGUGGUUGGUUACCUGGCCUCCUCCUGGCUCUUAAAUAUGCACGCAAUCGCAACCUCCUAGACGGUUCGAUUCAUGGGGGGCGUGAGCGCGGUGCCCUGUUGCAAUCUGGUGGCGAGAAGCGUGUGAUUGAUGGUGUGUCGUUGUAGUGGAGUGGAGUGGAGAGUAGAGGAAACAGGGAUUGGAGUGGAGAGGAGAGGAAACAGGGAUUGGAGUGGAGCUGAGUAGUUUAGUGUAGGGAUUUGCUAGAUGUUUGCGGUGGGAUUGAACAUGGAGUCUGUGCUGUCUAGUAAUUCGCUGCGUGUGAGGUUCGCUUGUCAUUCGGUGACGCCGAGCUGCGCCACCGCUUCGGGUAGAUCCGUAGUCUUGUAUAGUAGAGGCGCGAGCCAUCGGGCAUUUAUCUUGCCCUCGUGUUCGGAGGUGCAUUGGACGGGCGGGAGGCAAUGCAUGUCCGGUGCGAGACGGUCGAACUCCGGGAGGACAAUCAAGUUGAGGAGUUCUAGGAGGCGCGUGGCAACGAUCAAGGCUAGCGUGACGGACUCCCGUAACUUGGCCGUAGAUCCACAAAACUCAGGGUUGAGACCUGGCCCAGAGAAGAAGCUGGUUCCUGCUGAAAUUGUGCCGGUGCCAAGUGUAAGGGAGGCUGCAUUGGCUGAGGGUGAAGAGCCCGGCGAAAUUAGCGACGAGCUAUGGAAGCUGCUGGUGCUGGUUCCGGAGCACAUAGGGCAGAAGUUGGUGGCGCACCCCGAGAUCAAUGACUUGGUGGAGAUUGUACUUGACUUGGGGCGGCGGCCUCUGGCACGAUUUCCUUCCGGCGAUUGGUACGUCUCGGAGUCGAAAGUUACUGCUCAAGAUUUACAGCACGCCAUUUCCAUGGUACUUUUCUCCUCAUUUCACCAAUGCCGUCAAUGUAUGUUGCAAACAAUUCAUUGUAGGGUUUUGACAGCAAUCAAGAGCUUCAUGGGGUACUGAAUUUGAGCUAUAAUUGGUAAUUACAGACUGGGGAAUUUGGCGACGAUAACCGAGCAGGUAUUGAUCGCACACUUCACCGUGUGAGCGCCAUGCGAACUCGAUCUGGGAGUGUUGUGGGGCUCACUUGCCGAGUUGGGCGAGCUAUCUCCGGCAGCGCUGAGAUGGUCCGUGAUCUGAUUGCCAGCAGUAGUUCUUUGCUGCUCAUGGGACCUCCUGGUGUCGGCAAGACUACUGCAAUUAGGUAUGAAUCGUCCCACUAGAUCAUUGGGCUCGGGAUGCAGAAACUUUAAAAACUAUUACUAUGAGUUUAAUCACAGGCAAAUGUAAUUCGCGCAGGGAGAUUGCACGCAUGUUGGCUGAUGAGUAUCACAAGAGAGUGGUCAUUGUGGACACAUCGAAUGAGAUAGCUGGUGACGGUGACAUUCCUCACGCCGGCAUUGGUAUGGCACGGCGGAUGCAAGUGCCCAAAGUCGACUUACAACACAAGGUAAACAUCAUAAUUAAUCUGCGGCGUUGUCAUCGUUUUGGUGAUUGAUGUCUCAAUGUUCAUCCAAUUCAGAAUUUCAACGUGACUCUCAAGUAUGCGUCCCUUGAAUCUUGAUCUAUUCGCAUGUGGUUGCAGGUGAUGAUUGAAGCGGUGGAGAAUCACAUGCCCCAAGUGAUCGUGAUUGACGAGAUUGGAACUGAGUUGGAGGCAGUAGCGGCCGGCACCAUCGCCCAACGAGGAGUGCAGCUCGUGGGCACUGCACACGGCAUGACGGUUGAAAACCUGAUAAAGAAUCCGUCCCUUCAAAAUCUGGCCGGGGGCAUUCAGGUACGCACACCAGGGUUUGUUCUUCUUACUUUCUAUUUAAUUGCAGCUUCUCUAAUAACCAUGUCCUCAUUCAUUUCACUUCAGACUUAUGCGUUGGUUCCCAAAUGAAAUGCUCACAAGGUUGUUGGGAUGGGUGUGAAAUUGGAGGUGGUCUAAAGAGUGUGACACUCGGUGAUGAGGAAGCUCGGAGGCGACGAGUGCAGAAGAGUGUGUUGGAGCGGCAGGGGCCUCCCGUGUUCACAUCUGCUUGCGAAAUGAUCUCACGAACCGAGUGGCGAGUGCACCGCAGCUUGGCCGCUACAGUGGAUGCGUUGCUUGCUGGUUGGUUUCCCUUUCUUCAAUCGUAUCUACGACGCUCUACAUUGCAUUUGUUGCACGUUUUCUGUUUCACGGCCGUAUCGGAGAAUCGGAACUCUAAUGGAUUUUUGAUGAGAAAACUCUCUUGUGUCUACACUAGGUAAAUCGCCAAGGGUAGAGGUACGUAAAAUGAACGAGAAUGGGCAGGUGGUCGUAGGCAAUUUGGCCGAGUACCCUUCCCCAUCAAGACCAGGCAGCUCUACCUCUGGAUCAAGCUCGUCAUACGAUCUGGACUGGACUGAUAAUUAUGAGGAGGAUGAUUACGCGGGCGGGGACACCGGCGCAGAGAACGCAGCUGUGCAGGCAUGGGAGCGCUCUGAUGCUCCCAUUCUCUUGUAUCUUCACGAGGUAACCAAUCCUUUAGAGUUCCUAAAUUAGUGCAAAUUACUUUAACGGGAAUCUCGUUGAUCCUCAGCAACGGAGCUUUUGAGCCAUGGAUUUUGUUCUUUUGUAUGUGCUCUCGGCUGGGCUGCCACAGGUCACAGAAGAAUCCCUGGAGCAAGUGAUGGACGUCAUGGGUUUGGAAAACACAGUUCAGAUCACAGAAGACAUCGGAGCUGCUGAUGCGGUUCUAGCGCUCCGCUCGAAACUCAAGUUGAACUCUUGGGUCCGGGGUAUGGCCAAGUUUCGGCAGCUUCCUAUCUUUGUAAUCAAAGCCAACACUAUGGCACAAAUGGUGAGGGCCAUGCGUGCAAUUAUGAGCAUGGAAUCACUGGGCAAUAAUUCCCUCGGCUCCAAUCGGUUACGAGGUGACGACGGAGAGAAAUCCGAAUCGAUAAUUCACAGGCAACCAAACUCAGCGGAGGAAAUUGAUGCCUUAGAGGUAAAUCUAAAUAAUUGUAUGCUUUGCAUACGCACAUACACAUACCUGUGGUAGCCAAACUGCAAUCGUCAUGCCUAUCUGAGGUUUUAAAUUUGAUGUUUAAAUUGGUGCAGAAUGAAGACUGGGGGCUGACCUUGUGAUUAAACAUGGUGUUCAGGAGGCGCGAGUAGCGGUGGAACAGAUAGUGAUCCCCAAGGUUCAAGCUGUCGAACUUCUCCCCCGCUCCCCUGAAGUGCUGGCCUUGCAGGUGAAGCUCGUAGAGAGUUAUCAAUUAGCAUGGGAAAAGACUGGCUCCGGGAUGAACAAGAGGCUGCGCAUUCUCCCUAAGCAAUUGGUGGCUAGGAGCAGGAAUAGUAGAGGCAGCGAUCAGGAGGCUGACGAGGAAGCCUCGGAUAUAGAGGAUGAAGAAUUUGAUUCCGAUGUCGAGGACCUGGGUGUGUCGAUAGCGGGAGGCACAAGCCCCGGCAGGUUGCCCAUCCUUCCGGACUGAUUCUGGAGAACAUUCGUCUCCCUAAUUCACUUGUGCAUAAAUGUACACUUCAGUGUAAAAUUGUUGAUGCUAUAGUUUGCAAGCCAGUUCUGUGAUGUUGCUUCGUUCUUGGCCAAUCUUUGCUGACCGAGAUGCUAAAAGCAAUUAUUAACUUUCGGUUGAAAUCCGUAUAUAUUAUUGAGUUUUUAUGGUCCCACCAUCUGAGAUCCGAUUUCAUAUUGAUGCAACAGUAAUGUCUACAAAUUCGAUCGUCAAGAGAUAGAAUAUAAAUAACGAACCGAUUGUCUGGUGUCCCACUGCUGGUGGAAUCUUUUCCUAGUUACAUGAACAAGUCUUACAUAUCCCGCUAAGAGUAAAUACUGUAGUUACAAUGACUCCCAACGGGAAUAGAAUGUUACCCAUUUCCGAAAUGGAGGAACGUAUGUGGGCAAGUAUAUGUAAUGGCACAUGAUCAAUUGCUCUGCCACGGAUUGACUAAUCGACUCCCAACCAAGGCGAAUGGAAGUACCCUCAGAUAUUUCAUAACUCAAGGAUUAUGGCAUGAGCACUGCAUCUAACCUGCCGGAGACAGUUGACAGCACAAUGUACUCCUUUCAUCUAAUUUACACUCUUCUUACUCUACACUCUUUACUUGUCGGCCAUCCAUCGUACUACUGUCACCAUAAGAGUUGUGACCAUCAAUGAAGACAUUUUCGGAGCGACGUUCAACUAAAAGUGUCCAAGCAUCAUACACACCUAGUAGUUGAAACUGAUCUUCGUGGUGAAGUAAGUAGACAAUUUGGAGCUUUUCUUGGUGAAGGAGUAGACAAUUUGGAGCUUUUCUGCCCAUCCGUCAGCAGAGGCAGACAGAUAGUUGAGCCACUCCAGGCCAUUCACCUGGAGACUGAUGUUGGCUAAGGUGUCGAUCAUGACCGGCAGUGCACUUUCUCAAAAUUUAAGUACACCUCCGGCAUCCUCAGAGUGUGGAACCAGCUGGGUCAUGUCGUGUUGGACCAGUCGCAGAUCGUCACGCGGGAGCUCCACCUCCAUGUGAAAUUCGACAUGAUGUGCUAAUUAAUGGCGACCACCGCAGUCGUCCUGGCAAGGGAGCGAGUUUGGAGGACCUCGUUGACUACAGUCUGGGUGCAUGGUGAGGACGCUGUCGGGAAGCAGCAUGAAAGAGGCACUGGCAUUGCACACCAGUUCAGGAUUUUCCGCACAUCGCAGGCGCAAGUACGAGGGAUAUUGUAACUUGUAUAUUCUAGGGUUAGGGUAAUAUAAGUUCAGUUUUAGAGAGUAAUAUAUUUCUUAUUAUUUUGUUUGCUGUUUUUGCAUUGUUUUGUACUGUCGAGUAGGGCACAACUUGAAGCGUUGCACCUCCUCGAUGGAGUGCAGUUCUUUGACACCUCACGCUAAUAAGUUGUAACCGUUCUAUUCUAAUAUGCCUUGUUAAUUUGAGUGUGGUGUUGAUGUAGGUUGGGUUUUCUUCCAAGAACGCCAAUUACCGGAGAUGAGGGGUGAGCUUUAGACCUGUGAGGAAUUUUGUGAAGAUAUAAACUCGCAUUUCGGAAGUAAGGCAAUAUUGAAAGCGAAUUUUUUGUUGGGUAGUUAACUGGGGAAUAAAAUGGUAGCGAACAACUAUAUGCUUGGUUUGCGAAUGAAACUUGGUCGUAUCGACUAAUGCGAGUGCCAACUGAUUGUCGCAUUGGAUGAGAGUGGCUUCAUGGAGGCUCGCGGCUUGAUAUAGGUCAUGAAAGAGGUGCCACAGCCAAUUUUUAGGAAGCUCAAUUAAGACCCAUGUUUUAUUGGCUGCAUGCAAGUUAAGUUCAUCGGCAAUGGCGGUCUUCCAUUGAGCAGCUUCGAGCGAUGACAGCACUUGCUUGUAGGUCGUGGGUUUGAGCGGAACUAGAGCCAAGGAGUAAAGAGCGUAUUUCUUCGAAGGCGAAAGAGGAGGUUAUCGUCGAGGGAGUAAGAUGUCGGGAUUGUAAUUUUUAUUGGGAUCUUGAGGGAGAGGGACAUUCUUCGUAGAUUACUAUGAUAAGCAAUGUAGAGUACAGGCACCAUGCGGAGAGAUUGCAAAGCAUCAAGUGCUUCAUCAUGUAUAGAUUCAAUCAAAGGAGACCGCAGUUGAUAGCUCCAAGGUGGCCUAGAAUGAUGCCCAAUAUGGGGCAUAACUUUGAGGCCAGACCACACAUCCACAUAUAGGGGGGGAGAGUCUGGAUGUAAUUGUACCAAAUGGUGGAGAAAACCUUCAUGAUCAUCAAGCUAAUCAAUAUGCAGAGCAAGGUCUAGUGGCAGAAGAGUAGGUGAUGGAACUAGUGAUGUGGCCAGUGGCAAAUUGUUGGGAUUGAGUAGAUUAGAAGAAGCUGUCAGAGGCAACACUGUAUUGAGUUGGGACUGCAGCAACUACAUAGUCACUGAUGGUGAAGUAGGAGAAUUUGCAGGGAGUGGUAACAAGGAAAUAGUAGGCACAACAUCCUUGGACACAGAUUUUAAAAAGUCUAGAUUUAGUCUAUUAUUCCAAAAGAAUAAUGAAGAUACAAAUCAAAAGCUAGAGAGGGAGAUGCUGUAUGGCCAGAAGGUAGGCUCUCUUCCAGAAACACAACAUUGCAUGAUGUGAUCAUGGCUUUAGUUUGCACAUCUUUAAUUGACCUUGUAUACCAUUGUUUGCUAGGUACUGAUCAAAAUCAGAGGAGAAGUAUUCUCCUUCUUGAUCAAAACAGAGAGUACAAAUUAUAUAAUUAGUUUGUUUUUCUGCUGUUACAUGAAAGUUCUUGAAAAACUCAAAGCACUCACUUUUUUUAGCAAAGGAGCCUAAUGAUGAUAUAUCUUGAAAAAUUGUCAAUAAAGUAAUGUAAUAUUUAUAUCCAAAAAAAGUUGGUGCUACAAUUCUGCUACUUAAGUUAGAAUGUAUAAUUUCCAAGGGAUAAGUUGCUUUGAAUGUAGCUUCUUUAGGAAAUUUUGUGAUAGUCUAUUUUCCAUGGAUACAUAAAAGCAUGUACCAGAGGGAAUUGUUUUGAGAGAGACUUCAUUUAUUGUCUUAUUUUGGAUUAGUUGUUUCAAUCUGGAAUUAUUGAUAUAGCUAAGGUGUCGAUGCCAGAGGUUGACUUAGGUAUGAUCUGUUGGUCGAGAAGGUGUUUUAGUAGAUAGUUUGAUGCAAAAGGCAUAAUAAAGUUGGCAGUAGGCGAUGGUGUUGGGUUGGGUGAUGAUCUGAAGCAAAGACAUUGAGGUGUAUUGAUUAAUAAUUUUUUGAAUGGGGUUGUUGUUUUGAAUUUGGAUCUGAAGCAUAGUUGUGAUUGUUCUGAAAGUAUGGUGAGCAGGAGUUGUUGAGCCAAAACUGAAUAGUGAUGUCAUUGCAAGUGUCAUCAAGAUGCAACCAUAAGAAGGAAAUUGUGUUGAUGUUGUUAUAGCUAGAAGAUUGUGUUGGAGUAGAGAUUGGUGAGAAGAGUGACUUGCCAAGAUCUUCUAUUAAAAGAUGAGAGCUUGCAGCCAUAAGAGGCAUUGGUACUGAAACUGCUAUGUUGAUAUUUAUUAGAGCAACAAGGAGUGUCAAACCCAAAAGAUAGAUAUUUUUUUGGAAGAAGACACCUAGUGAGGAUGUGAUCAUUACAAUCCAUUAGUUUAUAUUUUUGGUUUUUUAUUAGAAGUCCUAUUGUUUGAUUGUAUGUACAAACUAAAAACAAAUUUUUGUAUAAAUUUGGGACAUAAAAAACAUUUGAGAGGCAAAGUAUGUGCUUUUUUUUCUAACUGAAUUUUAUCUGAUCUUUGUUUAUAGAUUCAAAAUAUUAUAUUGUCUCCAAAAUGCACUUGAUGAUUAUUAAGUUAGAGAAUUUGAAAAUCAAUAAAUAAUAUUUUAGUAUAAGCUAGAUGGUAUGUAGCUCCUAUAUCGACAAACCAUUGAUUGUCUCUAGAAUCUCCAGAUUGGGUGGAUUUUGCUGAAUAUAAUACUUGUGUGAAGUAGACAUGACCAUAGAAAGAAGGUGGGAUUUCUUCUAUAACUUCACCUUUCCAUAUUGUUUUUGGUUUUUUAGAACUGUAUUUAGCUAUGGCAUAAUUUACAGUAGCUUUGUUUUUGUUCUUAAAUCAAUUCAAUCUCCAAUGUUCCAUCUUCUUACAAUGAAGACAUGGAAUUGUAAGCUUGGUUUUGGAUUUGUUGUUUUUAUAUUCUUUUGAAUAUUGUUUUGGUGGUAGCUUUAAUUGCUAUUUAUCUUUGCUUUUUUGAUGGAUGAAAAGAGCUUGUGAUUUAGAAGAAGAGCCUUUCAUGGUUGUCUCCUCCUAAAGAAGAAUAGAGAUUUAUUUAGAAAGUCUUACAUUUCUUAUUGUUCUUAAUGUUUAUAUAAUAGUUCCAUAUUAUGAUGGCAUAGAUCUCAUAAGAGUUAAUAUUUUUAUUUGUGGUGGGAUGACAAUUCCUACGGCAUCGUAUUAUUGAAGUAAUUUUUUAAAAUUAUAUAGAUGUUGUAUUACUGAGUCUCAUGCUCUCAUCUUUUAUGUGAUGAAUUUUUCUUAUAGGUGUGCUUGAGUAAUUAUAUCACUUACUCAAUAUAUAUUUUCAAGAGACAUCCAAGCUUCAUUUGUUGUUUUGCAUACUCCUACAUGUGAAAAAAUCAAGUUAUCUACAGAAUUCUAUAAUGCAAUAAGUGCCAUUUGAUUUUUCUUCUUCCAUGUGAGUAUUUCAUUUUGAUUUGUUAGUGAUAUUUUAGUUGUUGAAUUUGGUUCUAAGAUAGGAAUUGGUUCUUUUUUAAUUCCUAAAAUUAGAUUCCAAACAUCUUCUAUUUCAAAUUUUAUUUGAAUUUUUUGUUUCUAGAUUGAGUAUCAUAAUCCAUUAAACUUAGGCAAUUCUUUAGUAGAGAGUUUGUUUGUAGCCAUAUUCCUAAAAAAAGAGGUUUAUUGGUACUCUAAUUUCUUUGAAAAAUAUCUUCAAUAAAGCCUCCUUCUUGUGAAUUUUCUUGUUACUUCUUUUCUAAAACUUGUUUUUUUAAGUUUUCAAAGAGAAUAUUUGAUACUAUAUUUAAACUUAUAUAUUCUAGGAUUAGAAAAAUAUAAGUUUAGUUUUAGAGAGUAAUAUAUUUUUUUAUUAAUUUUUUUUAUUAAUUUGCAUUGUUUUGUAAUAUCAAGGAAGGCACAACUUGAAGGAUUGCACCUCCUUGAUAGGGUGCUAUUCUUUGAUACUUCAUGCUAAUGAAUUGUAACUGUUCUAUUCUAAUAAGGGACAAUAGAGUCACUAAGAUAUUUCAAAGGCAUCUUAAUUAUAGCCUCUACAUAUAUAACUUUUUACUUCUAAAAAGUGGUUGUGUCUUCUUAGAAUUGGAAUAGAUAGUUGGCUUGAACUAGUGAAAAAUGCCACACUUAAAUUUCCCAUCUCUAAUUGUCCAAUUCCUAUUGGAAUUACUUAUGAGUAAUAGUCAAAGCAAUAUGUAGAAUUCUUGACUACAUAUGGAUAGUGUGAUAUUAUCACGAGGAUGUACUUUGUUUUCACUAUUUAAGAACAGUUGAAAUUUUAUAAAUUGUUGUUUGUUGUGGGCCAAACAAUAUGAGGUAUUGAACCAUGUUCAAUGAACAUUGUUCAUUUUUUUUUAAGAUAUCUCAAAAAUAAAUGCUUGUGUGAGAUAGACAUGGGCAUAAAAUGUGGGAGAUAUUUCUUCUACAUUUUUUGACUUCUAUGUUUGUUUAUUCUUGUCAUUAUUGUAGGGAGAUGUUGCUAAAAUUGCAAAAUUCUUUGCUUCGUUUUUGAAGCAAUCGGAUCUCCAAUCUCGGCAGCGGCUUCAAAGUCCGAUGCCCUUGCCCAAAAGUACCCCAAAAGUGGAAGCUUAAGAAUCUUCUCAACUCAAACUAUUUUUUUUCUCUGCCUACAUUAUCUCAAUGCCGCUUUGCAAUGCAAGAUCCCACGGCAACAGAAUCCUCACACUGCGAGAACCUGAGAGUUGCCACGGUAAUUCUAAAGACCAAUUGACUUUAGUGUUAAUUCUGCAUACUGUUGUGGACAGACUUCACUUGUUCCACUUUUUCUGCUUCAAUACUACCUGCAGUAAAAGUUAUUGCCUUCGCAAUUUUCAAAAAACUGUGGUGAUGAACUUCUAUGCUGAAAGUACUCUGAAUGUGCGCUUGUCCCUUCUGCCAACCUUCAAAGCUCAGGUUAGCUCUAAUAUGCAAUUUUGUAAUGCUGUGAGGUGCCCAUACCUGGUGCAAUGGCUUAAUAAAUGAUAAAAAAUACUGAUGUACAUUCGUUACCCUGCAUGUAGCUUCAGCUAACUUGAACAUGAACAUGAAGUAAAACUGCUCCACGCAAAGAAUAUGCCAGUUCAAUCUAGAUGCUAUUGAUUUGGAAUAAAUUAAUCGUGGACAUUGUUGGUGGUGGAUGAUAAGAAGGGAUUGGAGUUGGUGAAAGUGAGCUUUCUGACUGGCCGACCUCAACAACCUCUCUUUCAUUGAGAAUCAGGUAAUGAACUUUUCAUGAGCUGUAUUCUUAGUUAAAGUUGCAAUCGUUCUCUCCCAUCACGCAGAUGCUAGUGCCGGUCAUAAACGACCAUCAAUUAGUCUUGCCAGCUGUAUCAAUACCUCAAACUAAAAUCUUGUUUGCGUGUGAUAGAACUGGAUCCAUUAGGUCAAGUCUCAGACUUAGUGGAUGGCGACGCCAAAAACCUUAGUGAAUGUGCAGACACAGCAGGAGCAGGCUCAUAAUUCGUGCUUAAUCAGCAAUAUUGGUAGUAUCAGUCAAUGAUAUUUGACAGUAAUUUCAUCCUUAUGUGAUACUUCGGCAUUAAAUGAAACGAGCAGAAGUAAUGUAUCGGCUGUGGAGUGCUUACAUCAUCAUUGAGUGGCUGCUAUUGCAGAAUCUUCAACCGUAGCCAGAAGCAUCCCGGCACACAGCCGAGAAGUACCACGAUCAAGGCAUGUCUUUCAAAAGAGAAACCAUCAACCAAACGAUUGAAUUGGAGGUCCAAAACCUUCAUCCAGCCAUUAGACCCAUUGUGAUGGAUUCCAAGAUUCUCAACGUAGAAGCGACCUGUCAACGAGGACAGCUGUUUGGAUGGAUUUGACAAACACGCCUUGGAUGUUAAUGAGAUAUAUCUAGACGUUCGGGAUUAACCACCUGGUUGCGGAGAAUGAAUAAAUUGCCGACGCUUUCUUCAUCCUUUCUUCCAACUGGGUCAAGGCUUCCAGGCUAAGAAUACACGAGAAUCACCCACAUGUAUCAGCAUGGCUAGCAACGGUAACACCAGCCGCCCAGCGUUUUAAGCAAGGUGACAACUGGAGUUGUGCACAAGAGCCUUUGAUGCAGCAAAGAAUUGUCUCAGAAUAUAGCUUCUGCAGGGUGUCAAUUACUGUUGGACCCAGUACAGCCAGUUAUUUUUAACAAACGUUACUCAAAGUAAAGUGCAGAUUAUUGGCAACAUUUCCAUUGAGAUUCAAUGGUCCUUUCAGCAGAUUCUUUGUGGUGCUUGCCCGCUAGAACAAAAGUUCCUGAGACAUGCUAUCGCUGUCUACACGAACAACAUGAUAGAUAUUUUAAGAUCCAGUCGACAUUAUGGUUAGUGUGAUCCUUAGGGUUCAAGUUGCGUUUUAUUGUUCCAGACAUAGAAAUGAAUUAGAGUGAAUUUACUUACAAUUGGGUUCUAUUAUUGACUUGUCCAAAAAAACAUCAUAGAAUUGAAUACCAAACAUGUUAAAAGUGACAGGAGUUUCUUCUGAAAGUGGUUUAAUUAAUUGGGCAUCUUUGUCUACAACUGUGAUGUUUCAAUAAUUCUUGCUUCAUAAAUUUGCUCUGAGCUAUAGCUUUUACUGAUUGUAGUGACUGAGAGAACAAAUUAUGAGUUCUAUGUAUUCUUCAAAAAUUAAGUGCACAACCGAAAUUUCUUUUAUUUUUGUUAGACUCUUCAUUUUUCACAAUCUCUUUCAAUUUUGUAGUUUUUUGAAUUGGGCAUUCUUUCAACAUACAAGUCGCUUUUUUAGUUAUAAAGUUAUUCCAAAAAAUAAUGAUUUUUGAUGGUUAAUAAAACUUUUUAGAUGCAUCUAUAAGUACAAACAAAGUAUAAUAACAUUACAUCAAUAUAAAGUUCAAAAUAUUUGUUGUAAUGUGAUAAAUUUUCAUAAUCAAUGCAAUAUAUAUAUAUAUAUAUAUAUAUAUAUAUAUACUUACUUGUAUAUCUUUAGAUAGUUAAAUUCAAUUUGUAUUUUAAAAAAAUCAAACAUACUUUAAACAUAAUUUGGUUAAUUUUAAUUACACUCUAAUUUCAAUUAAAAGAAGAAUUGUAAAAUUAUUUUUAAAGAUUGAAAAAAAAAAUUAAUUAAUUAAUAACAUAGAACUUUAUAGUUUGAUAUAUAUAUAUAUAUAUAUAUAUAUAUAUAUAGUUAUUUUGGUAUAGAAUUUUGUUUUUAAAUUUUCAAUAUGUUCUAUAUUAAAUAUUUUUAUCAAAGCUUAUCACUCCUAUUAUAUGGACAACUUCUAAGAUAUAAAGGAAACAAUUUAAAAUAAUUUUUCAUAUAAAAUACUCAAGGUUUUUUUUAUUAAUGUACCUUUGAUUAGAUUAGGAGCAUCUUUGAUGUAUUAAUGCCAUUCUUAAAUGAAUCCUCAAUAGUAAUUUUUUUUAUAAAUCUCAUAAUUAGUUUUAAAUACAAUAAAAAAAUAAAAAAAUAAAAAAUGAUGAAUGUCACUAUUUGCAUCGAUUUGUGAUAAAAUUGGAUCUAUUGCAAGAUCUAAUGCAUAUAUUUCUAUAAAACAUGGUUUUGAAAAUCUAAACAAUAUAAGAUAGGAGUUAUGUUAAAAUCUAUUUUUAAACUUUAAAUGGUGCUUUGAAAUCUUUACUUCAUUACAAUUUAUCUUUGCAAGUUAAUUACAAAAGUAAGGCAACAACUUGAUAAAUAUUUAUCCUAAAAUUUGAUAAUAGUUGAAAAGUUUUUUAAAAAUUAGAAAUGAUUUAAAUAGUAAAAAUUAUAAAAUAUUUUAAAAAAUUGAAGUUUAUGAUAAAGAAAUGAUUUGAGUAAACACAUGCAUCAAAAUUUUAAAAAUUUCUACUUGAUUUUAAAUAGAAGAAUGUUGUACUAUUUAUUCAAUUUCUUUAUAAGUUACAAUAUGGUAUAAAGAAAUUAUUACUUAAUUUUUUUGAUCUUAAAAAAUUAAAUCGGAUAAUUUAUUUUAUCAUCAAAUAAGACAAUAAAAUUUGUGACUUUAAAUCUUUAAUUUUUAUGAUAUCAUUUUGAUGCUUCUAUGUUUUUGUUGCAAAUACUUUUGUCAAUCAAGAUAUACAUUUAGAUGCAAAAGAUAUAGAAAUUUAUGCUAUAUGUUUUAAUCUUCUUACAAAAAAAUAAAAAAAAUAAAUAAAUAAAUAAAUAAAUAAAACUAAUAAGAAGUAUUGGAGAAUAAAAAUGUAAUGCUCAAGAUUUUCUUGAAAAGAAGUAAUACUACAAAAGAAAGAAUAAAAUUUAAAAGGAAUAGAAUGUAUUUAAUAACAAGUUUAUCCAACAAGAUUAGAAAUUUUAUAGCUUGAUUCUUACAUAAUAUUAUAUUAUUUGAAUUAUUUUUUCUUUAAUAAAAUUAUUUGUAGGAUCUAGAAAUUUUAUAGCUUGAUUCUUGCAUAAUAUUAUAUUAUUUGAAUUAUAUUUUCUUUAGUAAAAUUAUUUUUAGGAUUUAGAAAUUUCAUAGUUUGAUUCUUGAAUAAUAUUAUAUUAUUUGAAUUAUUUUUUCUUUAAUAAAAUUAUUUGUAGGAUCUAAAAAUCCAGUAUUUUUUAUUUUUUAUUUUAGAUUUUGGUGCCUAUUUGUUUUUUUUCUAAUAAAUGAUUUAUUAUAUUUUAUAGAAUAUUGUUAGUAUAAAUAGCUAGAUUUAUACAUGUAAAAAUCAUAGAUAGAAAACUUGUAUCUUUUUAAGAUGCCAUCUAUAAAACCUAACCAAAAAGAAAUAAUUAUAAAAGGUCAUAAAAGUUGAUUAAUAUUUAAUAUUUUGAAAUUUCCAAUAAAUUAUAUUAUAUAUAUAUAUAUAAAAUAUUAAAAUGGAUUAAAUUUCUUCUUUUUUAUCAAAAAUAUAUAUUGUAUUUAAAAUAAAAAUAAAACCCUUUUAAUUAUUAGAACAAGGAUAUAUAUAUAUACCACAAAAUAUAGAGAUAUAUUUUUUUAUUUAUAAAACACCAAGUGUACAAUCAUCCUAUGACUUAAUAAACACAUUACAUAGUCUAAGAUUCAUAAUAUUAAAUGAUUAAUUUUUAAUUUUUUAAUUAAUAAAAAAUUGGUUGGAAUUUUAUUUUAUAGAAUUAUUAAUAUUAGAUAAUAUGAAUAUAAUAUCUAUUAAUAGAAGAUCUUGCAAGCCAUCAAACAUUAAAACUAUGUUAUACAUAUCAUAAUUAUAAUCUUUCUUCUAAGACUUCCAUAUUAUUUAUGAUUAUUUUCUUAUCAUAUUUUUUCAUAGGAUUAAUAUCUUUGCUUCAUUUUUUUUUGCAUCUUAUCCAACAAAUUAUUGUGAAUUAGUUGUGUUUUAUAUGUGAAUCCUUCCAACCUACUUUUUAAAUUUAAUUUGUGUCGAACGAAUAAUUAUCUUUAAUUCUUACUUUUAAAAAUUCUAAAUGUUGACUUGUGGCAAUCAUAUCUUAUAUAAUUUUCUACAAAGCAUUAAUUGACUCAUUUUUUUGACACUCAUAUGAAUGUUAAACAUUAGUUGGUUGUUACAUUAAUGGUUAGAAUAUAAAUAUUUUUUAGAAAAUAAAAUUCUUAUCUUGUUGUCUUAUACAAUCACAACUAGGUUGACAUGACUAAAUGCAUCUUCUCUAACUUUCUACCUCAAUAUGGUUAAAUUUAUAGGUAUUAAAAUGAUGUAUUAAAAUUCUUUUGUUAUUUUAAUUUUACUAUUAAAGAUAGAAGCUCUAAAAGAAUUAAGAAAAGAUUUUGUUUCUUACUUUGUUUAUUUGAACUCCAAAAGUAUUAAUCCUAAUAAGUAAUAUAUGUAAAUAUUGAUUUGAUAAAUUUUUAAUAAAUAAAAAUAUAUAAAUUAAAAAACUAUAAGUAUCAUUUAAUAUCAAUACAAGUUUAAUGCUUUUUUAAUUUAUCAGUUUAAUUUCUUUAUUUUAUUUUAUUAGAUUUAUUAAAUAUUAUAUAUUAUAUAUUAUAUAAUAAUAAAAUAUAUAAUUAAAAAUUUAAUAAUAAUGGAAAGUAUAAUCAUGUAAUUAUUAAUAUAUGUAUUUUAUAAUUAUGUAGCUGGAUAUCUGAAGUCAUAAUAUCAUAACCAAUAUUUGAAAUAGUUUCAAAAAAAGAUUCAAGAAGACUACAUAAUAAUUUUAGAGCAUGUAUUUCUUUUAGAAUUUAAAUGGUUUAAGAUGUAUAUAAAAAUUCUAUUAAAUUAAAAUAAAUUAUUUUUUUGUGCUAACAAAUAUUUGAUAAAAUUUAAAUGUAUUAUGAUUAUAUUUUACCUUUAUUAUUAUAAAUAUUAUUCUAAUUACAAUUAAUUUUUUGAAUAACACUUAUGUACAAUAUAAAUAAAUUUUAUCUUAUUAAUGUCUUUCUUGAGUAUUAACUUGUGCUAUUUGUGUGACCUAUGGUGUCUGUCUUCUUAAGUGAUAGCUAAAGCUUCUAAUCUUAUUUCUUUAUUAUUAGAGAUACAUAUUUUUUACUUUUGGAAAAUAAAGAAAAAUUAUUCUAUAAUUUUAUUUAUCUUUUUUUUAUCUUUUUUAAACAUCAGAGGGUCUAUGCAAAACACCCAUAAACAAUGUCAAAAAUUAUGGUUAAAAUUCACAUUACCAACCUCUGAAUAGCAGCUUGUCAUUUUUUGGUAGUUGAAGUUCAUUGGAAACCUUGCUUUUUGAUGUUUUAUUGAAGAGAGGUUCAAUCUCUUUGAUUGUAUUGUCCAUAUAUCCAAAAAAAAAAAAAAAAAUACAAACACAAAAUCCCAAACAAUAGUUGCAUUACUAAAAAAAUGUCUUAAUUGCAACAAAUAUUACAUAAUUUCAGAACUAAUAAGAAGGUAAUUGAAAAACAUAGAUACCAACUUGAACACACACUAUGUUUUUUGCCUCAUAAAAUAUCAUAUCCUACAUGGAAGGAAAAAGUUAUCCCUUUCUUCUACAAGAACUUAAAUAAAUGAAAGCUAGGUGGACCCAAAACAAAAAAAACUUCCUCUCCUCUGUGUAGAAUAUUCUUGUAAAUUAUGUACUGCGAACUACAAUUACAGUAUUCAAGAUGUCAAAAGAGUCUAAACUCACUGUGAUGGAAUUGAUCCGAAGCAGUAUUCCCAUUCCUUUUCCUCAAUCGAGUGACAUUUCCUGUAAAAAAAUGAACUGAUUCUGGUGGUGUCUCCAAAAGCAAGGAUGCAAUCGCUGACUAUCACCACCGUUUCUGCUACAGGGAGAAUGAGGACCCAGUAUCAAACAGUGGGUUUGUUUGUCAUGCUGUUGUUUUGCUAAGUGAAUGUGGGACAUCGAGGAUGAUGCAUGGGCCCAUGCUUUCAACCUUCGAGAUCCAAGAUCUGAAACUUCUUUAGCAAACUACAAACUCUUAAUAUGUUUAUAUUUAGAUGAAUGUUAAGAAUUGGUCGUAAGAGCUCAUUAGAGUUUGGGUGUUCGAACACGAGCAUGCCGAAACCUUGACCAUCUAAUAAAACGGUUUUUUCAGAAAGAGCUUUUAAUAUUUACUCCUAUAGGAUCUUGGAAAUCAUAGUGUUAUCUCGUCUGAAAGUCCCUUAUGGUGAUAUGAAUUGAGCUGGAAAUUCAUAGCACUGACAGUCUCACCUUGGCAGACCCUUGGACGAUAUGAGAUGAGUAUAAUCAAGCAAUAAAAGCAAGGCUCUGCAAAACUUUGCCAACAUGCACUGCAAAAGAGAACACAGAAGUCAAGCUUUCAACUCGCAACCAAACACCAUAUGUGCUGAUGCGCAUGAAGCAGUAGGUGAUUUUAAUUGGUGAAAUGAGCGGGGAAUUAGUAGCAUAAUCCUGAGUGCUAUUGCGGAGGAACUACUUAAAUAGAAAACUAAACGUUUAGUGUUCAAGUCUACAUAUUAUUGGUAAUCCUUGCUGUUUGGAACCUGCAUUCUUUGUCUAUCUCAACAGCGUUGUCGAACAUACAAUUGUUUUCACCAAACAAACCGUCCUCUUUUAUAGUCCCUAAGUUACAAUAGUGAUAUGUAAGAUCCAAUUUCGAAUUGCAACUGCUUCUAAGUAUGUUCAUAAGUGUUGCAGACUUGAGACUGCCCUGUUGCCCCAAGCUGCUCACAGGAAAAUUAGAACCAACGGACGCACAUAUUGCCACCACAAAUGAGGACUGUACAGCGUUCGGCAUGUUUCAAAUGAACAUUUCAAAUGAUCUACCCUAAGGUAUCUUUAAAAGUCUCCACUGGUCAAAUUAAUCUUGACACAGAAAAUGAAGGCACCAAUUGAGUUUCUUUCACGUGUAAAAUAACGUUCUUGUAACACCCAAGAAUUGAGGGGGUUAAUGAAACUAUCUUUGAGCAUGCUAUGGCAACAUCAAUGAAUCUGGAAGAUGACAUUUAACAACUAAUGUAAGAUGUCGGUAUGAUUAUGAGGGUAUGACUGGAGUGGCUAUGAAUCGCUUCAGUAUAUUGAAGUACGUUUUGUCAAUUACUCCUGCUCAAGAUUGCUGACGAUUGCUCAUCAGCAAAAUGCUUGACUGCCUCAGUUUACUACAAAUGUGCACCAUUUUAAUGAGCGACUUCAUCAAUCUAAGUGCGGUUCAGAUUAAAUAUGUGCAAAAAGGUUCCUGUGAGAGUCGUACUGUUGAAGAAUGAUCGUUCCAGCAGGGCCAAGCCAAGAAUUCAUGAAUUGGCCACUUUAGAACCUGUAGCCAAGAAUAGCAAUGUCAACAUGUGGCUCUAGAAUCUGAAUCCUCAAACCAAUUGCGACUGUCCGUAUUACAGAACAGCUAUACAGCCUGGUACAGUGGGGCACCAAACAUCCGACACAAGUACCAUAAUUAAAGCAAUAAAUGUUUCACAGAAAUAUCAACGUGCAAUUUACGCCUGCUCACAAAGAGAAUGCUGUGCAAGACAUGGGUGAGGUGUAACUUUUUGCAUUUAGAGAGAGAGCAAGAGAUCCCCUCAAAAUAUCUGGCAUGACUUAAGCUAGUAUUUUCUACCUGCAUCAAGAUAGUAUUUCCCCUUAUUCUGUGGUGAUCACAAUUUCGAAUUACUAAGCCCGAGGGAAGAUUCAGGACUAACAUUUCAAUGGUUCUAACAUUCUACGGACCAAGAGUAUAACCAAAAGCUUGCCUCUGUGGGGGCUAGGUAAUGCCCACCGAUCCUUUGCGGAAAGGUGACAUCAUUCCAGAUAUGCAUGGCAGACUAUUGAUUGACCGAAUGUGUGACUUAUAAUAGUGAUACUGGUGGAAAAUAAUUAUGGAAGAAAACAUUAUAUCCAAGAACCGCUUCAUUCUACUAAGGAACGCCGCAAGAAGACCACGGAUUGAGUAUUCUGUCCCUGAAAAUGCCAAAUCACUGGGCCAACGCUCUACUCCCCUUACCAAGAGAAAACAUUAAGAGAGCGAAACCAUCAAGAACAAUGACUCACAAACACGGAAAACGAUCUUCCAGAUUCAGAGAAGAAUGUGAUUGUAGAUUUAGCAUCAAAUAGAUCUUUCCUUUCGCUCUAGUUUCAGAUAAUUGGAAAAUCACGACUGUUUCCACUGAUAACAUGACAUACGACUGACGAAGAGAAUACGUUCAAAGGCAUUAUGAAGUAACAUUGAAAAGCUUGAAGCAUGAAUUCAUGCCACUUUAUUACAACGGAUAAAGUGUUGCGCUUGUCUACACUCAAGUCAUAUGGCUACAAGAAAAGGAAUGACAUACCUCGUUACUAACAACAUUAGACGUCAGCUACAAGAUGUUAAGAGAGAAGUGCGUGACUACUACGCUCCUAGGAGGAAAAAGGAAAUCAGAAGUAGAGUCUCUUGUCGACUUCUCGUCGCGUUUUCGCCUCUUUAAACCUGCUCAGAUGUAUGUCAUGCACAUUCGGCGAUACUCCUUGUGGAUGACUUUCUUGGUGUAAACCAGUUGAUGUCUCAGAGCCCUCCGUUGUACCUGUAGCUGCGAUGAUGCUGUGAAGUGAGCUAUCGAUAUCAGCACGAAAUAGUGGGCCUCCCAUAAUCACUCCGUGAUCUAGAACUUGCAAGGCUUCUACUGCCCGGUUGGCACGGUGGUGGCAUGAUGCCAAAGACAAGCAGGAGAGAGAGAAUGCGUCACGCCAUACCACAGGCACAUCUUUCCAAGGUCCUGCGUGUAACACCUCCCAAGCUAGUUCAUAAGCAGCUUCUGCAGCAUCCUCAUCCGCUCCAAACCAGGCCUUCUCUGCAAGCCCCGCAAACACUACGCCCCCUUCAUUGCGCACCUGUGAUAAUGGCAACCAACUUCAAAAUGUCCAUAUCAAAGCAUACAAUACUCCAUUCACUAACUUAUUCUUUACGAAUGAUAUUGGGUCUACCACUGUAAGAUCCUCGAACACAGUGAUCCCUCUCACUGGUGAGGUCCUCAGAUUUUCCAACACCAUAUCUUGUAAAACACGAAAUCUGAAAACACACUAUUUCGGUAUGAUUAUAACAAUUGCACCACCUCACUAACUCUGCACAACCUUCUCCUCAGUCAAUAAAUCUCAUGCAUCAAAACCUGUUAUCACAGAAGGCAAUCGCUCUCACAUUCACCGCUUUCAGAAAAUAAAACAAAAUCGCGAGGUCAAGGAAACAAAGGCAACCACACUCGUCAUUUCAGUGGAAUUGGACACCAGCAGAGGCAAUCGCAACUAGGUCAACGUGCCCAGACCUGGGUGAGAAACGCGAGCACCUGCGAUUCCGCAACGGGAGACAUGGGCAAAUUCUACAGCCGCUGACCUGCACUAUCAGUCACCGGGCACGACCUCCUAUGCUCCAAAUGCAGCACCUCCUAAUGCUUUCCCUCUGGCACAAAUGGCUCUCAAAGCACCACACCAUAUCAUUAGCACCGUCUACAUAACACUUCCCGACGCACAUGGAAUCGACCCCGUCUCGUCUGUGGCUAGUCUGCGGAUGGCACGCAUGCAUGACGCGUUUUAGAUUGAGGUUCCUGUUGCCGCGACACUAGUGCUGCUUAAUCUGAAGAGGCCUUCUGUUUCCACACCGCUUGUCUCUUGCCAUGUAACUCACUGUCUAGGCCAUGGCGGAAUAUCUGUCGUGCUCCAGCCUCAUUAUAUGGGAAAGCUCGAUGAGCUCCAUCAAGUGGACCGGUGCAACUUGCACCUGUCCAGAUCUUUUGCCUCUUCCAGAAUGGCGGUGCGGUCCCGCCUAUUUGUUUGAAUAAGCCAAAAAUCUAAAAGCUUUUUCUGCCCAUCGGAUCGUCUCCGCGGGCGCGAGGUUCGUGAUCACAACAGAAGUGGAUAUAUAGGAGAUCCGAAUCAGCUCAUGGAACUCGCCUGCGACAGAGUUUCCAGAUCCGUGCUCGGGUUAGUGAGCUUCGGGCACAUGCAUGCCCUGACCCCCAAGAUCGCAUGUGAUUGCAUGAAUGUGCGGCUAGAAUAUGAGAUAUGACAUUCAGACUACUCUUGACCCCUACUCUGGGUAAGAUGACCUGUGCUCUUGGAACCCAGGUGGCGCAUGUGCUGGAGUGACGCAGGGACGGACCUGCGCUACUUAUUGGACCCAACAGAAUCAAUGAUGUUGCGGGAGGCAUGCACACGGAUUUGCACUGUUGUAGAUGCAAGGGUAAGAAUCCACUACAGUGCACGAAGGCGAGUGGGGAGGUGGGGAGGGGAUAGUCUUCAAAGAGUCUUAGUUCUACCCGCAGUAAUGCAUGGCCCCACACUGCGCACCAUCGCCAGUAGUGCGAGAAUGCAGGCCGUCAUAAUGGGACCCAUGUAGGGCCAACCCUGAACCAAUGCAACCUUCAAUCCUCCCUUUCCAAACCGAGAAAGAUCGAUAUAUAUUUGCACCUUCCCUGCUCUACCUGGAUAUGUGACUAUGUGGCAGCGGUGCCUCAAAAUCCCACCCUCACUUCCCCAAUGGGAACAGUUCUCCUGAGAAGCGGCGCUCACGAGGGUUGUCACCGCCGAGGAUUAGCUCGGCACAGCUCAGCAGCAGGAUGAUGAUGUCCCUCCUCCAAACUAGGCAUUUAGUAUAUAACACUUUUGCUGAGGUGCUGGCAAAUCUUCUGAGGCUAGUUCAGUUCUAGAUUGUGCACCCCGUGCAGAGCAAACUAGACGUCAUCACCGAGACUGAGGUUAUGACGCGUUGACCUAGAUUCGGCUCCAUAAAUGGGCUCUCCUGCUUGAUGAAGAAUUGCCUUUGAUUGAAGCAUAAAAUAGUGGUGUUUCGUAGCUAAUGGGGUUGUGAACUAUAAAUGAUGUGUUUUAUUUUGACUUUUGAAAGGCUUUGACCUUGACUUGACUCUUUAGGGUAUGGGCCUUGAAACCCCACUUCAGACUUUGGUAUGCAUGGAUUACCUUAGUGCAAAAUUACUGGUCAAUAUGUAUUCUCAAGAUUGGGUAUUUUGAGCUCUCUCUCAAUAUAUAUAUAUAUAUAUAUAUAUAUAUAGUGUGUAUGUGUGUACGUGUGUAUUCACUUAUUUAUUUAUUUAUUUAUUUAUUUAUACACACACACAUAUAUAUAUAUAUAUAUAUAUAUUCUUACAAGGCAUUGGUGUGUGUAUAUAUAUAAUACAUAUGUUGAUAAACUGUGAAUGUUUCUAUUAGUUAUGUAGACCAACUUCAAAUAAAAAAUCUUCUCAGUAGAUACAAGUAAAGUUUGCUAUUCUCUCCAAGUAUUUUUUACAUUAUUUAAUGUCAUUGUAACUUAAAUCUUCUUUUUUCUUAAUGGACUUUUGAACAUUUUAAAGAGCAUGUUUGUCUCAAGCAUUAUUUUUCUUCUUUUUCUCUUUUUUUAUAAUUAUUCUUCUCUAUAUAAAAUUUUAUAAAUAUUUUUUGUAUGGAAUUUAUAGUUAAGAAUUUUUUUUAAAAAAAAAAAAAAAAACUUGAGAUGAUAUAACUUGACAAAAUAUUUUUAGUUUCAUUUUUUUUUUCUUCUUUUGAAAUCAAAUUUUCUGGUUCUUUGUUUGCAAAUGAUUCAAAUUUUAUUGCUCAAAAUAACUCACAUAUAUUAAAAAAGUAAUAUUAAUGAGGCCCAAACACUAUUUUUAUCACCCUACUACUUCUUAAGAACUUCAUGGUAACAUAAAAAGAAUAAAAAUUGAAAAUGAACAUUUUGAAAUGAAAGUUUUAGUCUAAUAUACAUAUCUAUUACACUAUAUUAUAUUCUUAUUUUUUUGUAUGACUUGAGACACUCUUAGAAUGAUUUUUUUUUUUAUGAUUAUAAAAAAAUAAGAAUUAAAAAGAGAAAAAUUAUAAAAAACUUGUAAAAUAGUUAUUUAAAAGAAUCUAGUAUAAUGAUAAGAGUUAGUAAUUUUUUAUAUUCUUUUAUUAAAUUACUCUUGGCAUUUCCAUAUAAUCUAAAGUAAUUCUAAGCGUUACAUCCUAAUAUAAAAAUUCAUAGGAUAUUUAUAAAAAAACUAAAAUAAAACAUACAUAUACCUAAAAAUUAACUAUAAAAUAAAUUAUAAAAACAUAUAUUCUUAAUUUAUUUUUUUAGAAGAGUUAUAUAAAGUAGUAUCUUAUUAAUUUUAUAUAAUACGAAAUAAAUUAAAAUUUUCAAAUUUUUAGUUAAAAAAUUGACUCUACAAAAUACAUGUUAUUUUUGAGAGAGAGAGAAAAAAAAAUUGAGCAGCCUACGUUUGUAUGUAGUAUCAAAAAAUCCUAUUGGUUGGAGUAGUAGGGGGCACUCAUUGCUAAGGUAUACUGUGUUUUAUUUUUAUUUUUAAUUGCAAUUGUGAGAAUAAACAUUGCAUCACUUUCUUUUUAAAUUGUAAGAAACAUGUGUGUUAUAGCAGUUAUCAGAGUAAAUGAAGCAACAUGGUGCACCACAAUUUGUAAAGUAGAUAUUAAAUUCAAAAAUGUGAUUUUAAUGUAUCUAAUUCAGAUAAAUAUUAAUCACCUUCUAAAAAUUACACAUUGCAUCUAAUCUUGAUCUUAUCAAUGUAUAAUGUUAUAAAGACAAUAGAAUAGAAUAUUCAAUAAAAUUUUAGGAUAUAUAUAUAUAUAUAUAUAUAUAUAUAAGUUCUUCUACUAUCAACAUAUAAUAUGAUAGAAAUAGUUUAAAAUAAAAUAAUUAUCUUAUUCAAAAAAUACAUUAGCAAUAGCAAAUUGGUCAUAUCAUUUUUGUCACCACCUAAAUUUGAUCCUAACACAACUUGUGAAAAGCAAAUCACUUUUCUUGCCAUAUACAUAAACAUUUGCAAAACAUUCUUUGUCUAAAAAAAUCUUCUAACUCAUAUUCAUAGAAAAACAAUGCCCCCUACCUGUUACACAAAUUAAAAAUCUCACACCUAUUGCACACACACAGCAAGCAGGAGCAGAACCCUUUGUCUACACUUGGCCAUGUGGAUGAUAACAUGUGGGAGUAUAUUCAUUUAUUUGGAGGAAGUGAUAAGUUGGGAAAGAGUGUUUGUGAAGAGCACGGAAAAUGCAGGACAAAAGAACUCAUGACUGUGAAGUUGCAUAUCUGCCAGCAGUAUAUAAGCAUAUACUACUUUCUGUAGAGUUCUGGAAUCCGACUGAACCAAAAGCUCUAAAACUUUCCAUUUUUAAGUGUUUUGGGAAAGCAACAUCGAUAACCCAUUGGCAGAUAGAGAGGUAACAAGUCUAACGGUAUAUGUUUGUUUUUGGUGCAAGUCCUCUACGUAUCACUGUUUGACAAUGAAGCAUUGCAGCCUACAGUAUCAUUGGAGCAGUUGAAGAAGUAAUUCUGGGAUGAUAUGCUUGAAGGAGUGGCAGUUGAGAAGCUUCGCUUUAGCACCAUAUCUUGUUCGGUGAAGGUAAAAUUGGGCUUCCUACGCGUGCAGCUAAAGACGGAGAAUGUGGCAUUUGCAAAUAUAUAGUUUCCAAUUCCCGUGGGAUCUAUCCUAACAGUUGUAGGCAUGGUCAUAUUCGGAAAGUCAUUGCUCCUUGCCUCCUUGCUCGGAGAGUUGUCAGAAGUCUUCGGAGUGGUAGCUGGGGUCCGAAGUAGUUCACUGUAGUGCGAGAAUUGAAUGCAGGGUGGUAAUUUAUUAGCCGUCACUCUACAGACAAAACUCACACCUUGGAACUGUUAUGGCAUGUACCCAUUUUGAUUCUCUCAUUGUAAACUCCUAGUACAGACAUGAUCAAAUAACUGUGCCAAUGUUAUUGCCAUCUUUGCAUCCACGUGUAGACUGAUGAAUAUCAUUGUGAGCUUAAGUUGUGUCUGAUCAUGUUGAGGUUUUCUCAGACGAAUCAACCUUUCUACGGAUGGUCGUGGUUUUCAUCAAGUAUUCAUGCUAGUAGUAGCGAAGUCAAUGCUGAUUGUCGGCACAGAAAUGCCUACUUUGGGGGUUAGCCGGAAGGAUUAUCAUUCUUGCCACUCACCAAAUUGAAUCCCUUUAUGUUGCAAAUACCUCAAGGCUGAAUGUGGAGGUGUAAUUGCGGCAGCAGUUCUUCUCAUUUAGAUUAGUUCUCAAGACUUGGUGUUAGCUGCGGGUUUCUAGGUAGCGUUUGAGUGGGGAACCGCCAAGUAACUCAAUUCAUACUGGUUCAUAUCGGUUUAUUUAGUAUUGACUGUCACAUGCACCUCAUGUGGAGUUUGUCACGCGGUUCUUGUGAGCCCCAAGACUUCACAAGAUUUCUACCUCAGAAUGCUGCCGCGUGUGUGUCGUGCUCUCAUGGCCUUCUUUCACAUUUCACCUGCGUGAAGAAUUCGUUGUCGCAUACGCGAUUCUCUUACCUUCCAUUAUGAAUGUAUGCUGGACGCUCAAUAUUUGGUACAAUUCUUCUUGUAUUAUGUAAACAAGACCACCAUUCAUAAUUUAUUAUUGUAGUAAAACGCGUAAAUACUUUCAGUUUCUCAUCAACAUUCUCUAAUCCUUCUGUUAACCAAGUGACUCGAGUUUCUAUGAAGCGAGUUGUGUUGUUGGGUGUCUUUCAGGAAUUAUUCUAGUUUCUAUUCAAAUUUAAAUUGUUCGCAGAUUGCCGUUGAUUGUUUGAGAAUGAGCGUUUGCUCCUAUGAAGGAAGCGAACCUUUCCCAUCUAUCUCCAUGUGUUCUCUAAUGUCGUUUAUCUUCCUAUUGUAUUAUAGUCUUAGGCUAUAUAUACUUCUCCUAAUCAGAUAUGAUUUGGCGCAGGCAACAACGGAUAUGAUUGUGGGUUCUUUCUUCGGCGACAUUUGAUAGAUGUCGAACUUAUAAUUUAAUUUUGAAGAGUUGUCUUUGUUGUCAGUUUUAAAAACCUGAACAUUCAACUGAUCCUCAGAAGAAAAGAAUGUGUGCAUAGCGCUGAAGGUCCGUUUUAGUGUAUCGAGAAAAAACUAGAUUAAACAUCCUUCAAGCCAAUAUGAACAUAAAAGUGAGGUUCCCAAAACCAGUGCUAAUUCGCAUUCUGUAUUCCCUGCUGUGUAGGCCGAUUUCAACAUCAUCAAGGGAGUUAACCUGAUUGGAUGCAGAGACGAAAAUGAUGUCUGGCAUAACUCGAAGCUGUGUAUUUAAGAAUCAUGAAACUAUGGGUAACGGUAACUCACAACCCUCUAUCUAGUUCAGUAACAUUUUGUAUGAAUAGUUUUGAAGUCGUGCAACCGAAGUUGUGUUAACUAAUCAACCUCAUUAUCGUAUGCUGCUGGGAUUACUACACGCUGAACUUCCUCUAAACCAGAGUCAGAUAUUUCUACAUGUCUACCCUUCAUCGGUGAAGAUCCUGUUGUCUGCGGGAAGCCACAUAUGUGUUAAGUUUCUUUGAGCGUAAACCUCAUGAACACUAAAUAUAUUGGAUUGCGAGUUGGUGGGGAUGCCUGUAUCAUUCAGUCUCCUGCUUGACACAACUUUGCAUGUUCACUGCAGAAUAAAAUGGUUGCUAUGGAACGCAUCUCCCAAUAUCUCAAUCUCCCUAGAGAAGCACCGGAGGUAUAAAUCUACACACAAACAUGAAACACAAAGUCUUCAAACGUGAUGUCCAGUUGUAGAUUUGGGUGGACCGUAAGAAUACGUAAGAAUGUUAUACCGUGUCGCCAAAUAAUCUACGAUAUGGAUGAAUAAUACCGUUCAUCUAUUUUCAUUCAUCCAGAAAACCGCAAACCUUGGAGGCGGUGCCUUCGCAGAAGGUGUUUCCGACGAAGGAUCCAUAAGAGUAUGAUCCCGCUCUACAGGCUUUGUGUUCUCGCUGAGUCGAUUGAUUUGCGUGUGUGUGGGUAGCGCUGGAUUGGAAUUGAAGCGAGAGCAAGAUCAGUAGGGUGAAGUUGCGAUUAGGGUUUCAGAUUUGGAGAUUUGCCAUAGCUGAGUGGGCAAGAUGGUGCAGGUGUUAGUGAGCAAGGGUGAUGGGGGAACGGUGGCAGUGCGUGUUGAUGAGGAGCAGACAGUCGGGGAUUUGAAGAGCUUGGUGUUGCCGAGGAGUUGCGUUUGGGAUCAUGUGUAUUUAUCAUUCGCAGGCAGGCCCUUAGCCGAUGACGCUAGGUUGGUGGAUUGCGGAAUUGGGAAUUGGAGCAGUUUAGGGUUUGGGGUGAGAGUGCGUGGAGGUGGUGGAGAUGGGGGAGCCACGGGCGCUGAGUCGCGAGACUGCUACUUGAACAUGUACGCAUCGAAGAAGCCGGAUAAAGUUGACCCAAAUGAGAUCAAGUUGGCUAAGUUUACCAAUUGUGCGCUGUCAUCGGAGCCCCUGAAACCUCCAUGCGUGAUUGAUUUUCUUGGGAAUAUAUACAACAAGGAACCGGUAGUGCACGCGCUUCUGACGAAGUCGUUGCCGAAGAAAUUAGGGUAUAUUAAGGGGCUUAAGGACCUUAUUACUGUUCACUUCACUUCUAUUCCUGGGGUUAGCCCAGACGGGGAUAUCUCUGGAAGCAAGUUCCAAUGUCCAGUUACGGGUUUAGAAGUUAAUGGGAAAUUCAAGUUCUUCGCCCUGCGAAAGUGUGGUCAUGUGUUAAGUGCUCGGGCUUUGAAGGAAGUGUCGUCGGCGUCUUGCGCGGUUUGUUAUGUUCCGUUUACGGAGCUUGAAAAGAUCCCACUGAAUGGGUCCGAGGAUGAGGUAUGUGAUUGUGCUUUCAUCAGUAUCUAUCUUUAACCUAUCUGCAUUGAUCUGUGCCCAUGUUUGCCCUUGAACUGUGAAGUCCCCAUUUGGUAUUCAUAACAUCAAAUUUUAUGUUCAAAUGUAGUGGCCGCAUCACAUCGCUGUGCUUUCAUUUAUUUUGAUCCUUGUGAUGAUUACAACGAGACUGAGAGUAAAAAUGAAGAACAGUAAGCUCUAUAUUGCACAAUAAAAAUUAAAGCACCCUUGAUCCAAAGAUAUAACUCAGACUUUCACAAACAUCGAGAGCUUGAAGGUUUUACACUCAGACCUAUUUUUUAAGCUUUGAAGUCGUUUCUUACUUUGGCGUUUGUUACUACAGGUUCGUUUAUUGCGGGAGAGAAUGGAAGCAGAAAAAUCGAUGAUUCAAGACAAGAAGCCGAAGAAGGUUAAGAAUGGGAAGCUGGACACAGUAGAGCAAAGUGCGGGGGACUCGUGCAAAUCGACAACAGAGGAAAGUCGAAAAUUAGCCAAAAGCUCCUUACACAGUGGCAAACGCAAAGGAGAAGUUUUUCCUGAUUUGGAGGUGGCACAAGUGAGGCCAAAAGGUUCAGAUCUGGUUGUCGUGACUAAGAAGUUCAAAGCAUCCGAUAAGUUGCCAGAAAAUGCAACAAAAUCUGUAUACGCUUCCAUCUUUACGUCAUCAAGCAAGGGGACAUUCAAAGAGACUUACUCUUGUCGUUCUUUGCCUCUUGGGAGAAACUGACGCGUGUAUUGUUGAGGUUCUUGUGUAUCAUAUUUUUAAGGUUUUCAGCUUGGUAGUUUAAUCUGGGAAAGUAGGAAUUGAGGUGUAUCUUGGUGUGCCGGAUCACAAGUGACCUGCGGAUACUGGCAUUAGGACAAAACACUGAUUCGUUGAGAAGCACUGAAGCAAAUUGCAGUGUGAUAGUCACACGUUUCUUCCGUUUGUAAUUUACAGCAAGAAAGAAAAGAAAAAGUCUGGUGAACGGUUACAUACAAUGUGAUAUUGCAAUUAAAAGCUGUGCCUACAUUUGUUGCGAAAUACGAGUGCAGUGUAUUUGUGAUGCUCUUUGAUACCACUUGAUAACCAAAUUCUUUCAUGUUAAUCUGCAACUGACUAGCUUCAAUGUUCACAUUGGCAUGUGUUUGAUAGGCUUCUCUUAUUUAUUAAUUACUCCUGUAGUUUUAUUGCGGCAUAGAAUUGUGGCCCACUUAUGUUGUUCCAUUACAAUGUGCUGCCACAACGCUUAGGAUAUGUAAGUUCUAUGUCCAGGCUAGCUAAUUUUAUGCCACAGUUUGUCAUGCAAAGUUAGAAUCUAAACCUUAGUGGCUUAUGUAAGAUAGCUAGAACAGAAGCUUAAUAUCGUGUAUUCAUGUCCCUUGGAAGUUGAUUUCAAAAUUGGUCAAGUUAAUUGUGCCCAGGAUUUUCACUCACUUUAUAUGCGUCCAAAAUAUUUAGGUGUAUGUCAAACAGGAAGAACUAAAUUACCAGAAAUUUAAAACAAUGAAUGUUAGUUUUUGUACGUACAUAUUAUUGGAUGGGGGAAAAAGUGGGAUGAUGAAGACAAGAAAUGACAUUGUAGAAAAAUAGAAUAAUGAGAAGUGAUCUGAGCGCUAGAAGGAGGGGUCGAACCUCCGACCUUGUGGUUAACAGCCACACGCUCUAACCAACUGAGCUAUUCCAGCCAAUCUGACACCACAAUUUGUUCCUAAUUACAAAUAAAAUCCAAAUCCUUGAGAUUACGGUAAUCUCCUCCGCAUCUGGAUUCACCGGAUCGAGUGAAUCUGUGGACGGAAAUUAACCUACACUAGAUUUAAAUUAUUCUGACACUUUAUAUAAUUCUCAGUCUAAUAUGAAUCUUGAUUCUAAAUCGAGUCAUUGGUUUAGCCAAUAACUGCAAUAACCAUCUUUCUAAAUUGUGCCAGAGCAUUAAAAUUAAUCAUUUUUCAUUACAAGAACCUAUGGAUAAUAUUAAUUGCUCAAAUUUUUCAGUAUCAGAUGAAUCAAUUUAAAGACUCAUGUAUUACCUUCCAAAAAAGUCACAUGGAUUUCACACCCUGACUCAAAAUUCACGUAUUUGGCAUGAGCUUGUAAGAUCUAUCUAGACUUGGUUCUUCUAGAGUCCUUACGAUACGCAAUAUCUUCCUAACAUAGAAAAGUAAAUUAUGCUGUUUUGAAAUUUUGGGUUCCCUUCCUGUUGCUUGCACCUGAGACAAACCUGAACAUAUCUUAUUCGUUAUAUUCAUGUAAUCCACCAUUAAAUUGUUAUUAGACCAAAGAAUGGUCUCUCUUACAAUCAUUCCCUCUCUCGUUUGAUUUGUACCCUGAUCCCUUGACCUUGUGACUUGACAUUCAAAAAGCUAUGAUGUUUCAUGAACAGCUUGUAUUUUGAUCGAAGAGACCUCUUCUUGCCAUUUCAUGCUGACAAUGACCCAUAUGAACAAACAGAAUUUUCACUUAUCUAGUUUCAAGCGACUUUUCCAAUUCUCAAAGCAGUCGCACAGACAAAGAAAAUAUCUUAAUGUGAGCCUAUUGCACCGUGACACCAGUCGUUGAAUCAAUCUUAAAAAAACAAUCAUCAAUUCAACCAGCGCCUGACGAUUGAAGCAGGAAAAUCACAGACAAUACCAAGUUCUAAGCCCUAUUCUGAAACGAAAAAGAAUAUAACUGUGCAAUAACUACUUCGAAUUUCUUGAAAUCUUCUUUACUGCAAAAUUCAACUGCAGAAACUCGGUUCUACAUAUCUACAUGUGCAACUCUCACAAUUGAUAAACCAUUGGUUUUCUAAUGAAUAGUUCAACUUUUCAUGAAAGAACAGAAAUUUUUCACAACAUCAACAUGAACCAUGCAACUCAAAGCAGUAUCAACCAGAAAUAUAGAAGCAAUAGAUGAUGAAUUUGCAAACAAUCAAACAUUGAACAAGAGAUUUGAACUCAAACAGUGCUUCCGCAUGUCCAUUACGCCUUGGAUCAGAUACGUGACCUUAGGGGAUCCAGCAAGCAGGUUUUCUAGCAAAAUCCGAUUCGCCGCAUGAGUACGCCUCGUAAAAUGCAGAUGGCUCCCAGUUGCUGCACUACGCAACAUAUUUGACAACCCUCUACAAUCUCACUGUUUUAAAAAAACACAAAUUUUACCUUUAAUUCUUCCUUUUCCGAUCUGAGAUCUUGGUACAUCCGACAAAUAGAAUAUGGUGUACAACCAGGGAUUUCAAUAUGUAAAAAUCUACACUGCUUAUGCACUCGCCUUCAGUGCCUUCAAUCAAACAGGUCGACCUCAGAGCAUUUGAGAACACUCCUCAAAUACAUUCAAGUAGAUGGAGGUCGAGGACUUACUAUUAUCACAUGAAAACCGACCUUCAUCCCCACCGUGAAAAAAUGACCACUCUCCCUCUCUUCCAGCAACAUCCCCAUUCCUGCACAACUCUUCAAAUUCUAUAAGACAGCCAGAGUAAAGGCUAUAAAGUCAAGAAUGUGUAAUCGACAGCCAUGGAGGGAACAGACAAGAAAUGGACCAUAUUCGCCAUUUAGGUACCGUUUACACAAUUCAGGCAAAAUAAAGCUACCAUGAAUCUCUUUCGAUUGAAGUUCUCUUAUCCUGAGGGGAUGCAAUAAUGUUGAGAGAUGAUCAAUUCAUGAUACACAAGGCUUGCAACGAGGCUUGGAAUUAUCCACCUGUAUACAUUCAGAGCAGACUAAUGUGCUAAAAACACAACUGGAGAGAGCUUCCAGUAGCAGCAGAUACGUAGGCAUUACAUCGUUGAUUCCAAAUUGCCACCAGAUUUUCUCUACACCAGAAAAUUAAUGGUCAUUGUGACAGUUUAUACAAUCUGGCAAAGGUUAUGGAGGGGCGCAUAUCAUCAAUAUCCGAACUUCGCAUUGAGUGCUGUUCGCCCAUCUCCAGUUUGCCCUGCAAAAUGUGGUAUAAACUUAUCAAAAACUCUCAAAAAACUCUCAAAAAAACAAAAAACAAGAAGUUUAACUGCAUAAUUUUUCAGAGCUAAGAGAUAGGCCAAAAUAGAAACCCAGUGCAAGAAGUUGUAAAGAGAAAAUAUAAGUACCUUUAGGAGGGACCCAAGCUUCUUCGAGCUCGUCCAAUUCGUUAUCCAAUGCAGGAGGUCUUUCAGGCCCCAGCUUUCGUUUUUUCUUGCCUCGAGUUUUAGUUGCAGAUACAUGCUGCAAGCUGUCGCUCGACUGAGUCUCUUGUUCUCGUACUUCCUCUUGAGUAGUAAAACCUGAUGUGUGUCUCAUUAGAAGUGCAACUGCCUCCAUGGCUGCAUGACUAGCGACAUCUGUAUACUCGCUCCCCAACAUAUCACCUACAACUUCUACUUUUGCGACAUCCUCGUUCUUAGGAGCUGACCGUUUCCUAUCUUUAUAUCCUACAAAAUCAUUCCCAGUUUCUGUGUUUUCUUCUGUGGAAAUUGAACCCUUUGUAGCUUCAUUCUGUGGUGCCUCCGGCCGCGGUGCAGGUCGUGGUGCACCAAGAAGAAGAGUAGGUGCAAGAACCGGCAUCUCUUUGGUUUCAGGUUGAUUGUCAAUAGAACCCAUACUAACAUCUGGAGUAGGUGGAGCAUUAUUCGCUUCAGGAGCAGGUUCAAUAAGCUCCUUUGCUUGAGAUGCAAGCUCGCGCGCAGCUUCUUUACUGGCACGUAAUCGUAAUCGAUUCUCUACAAUGGUUUCUACCUUCUGAUAUUGGCUUGAACCUUGAGCUUUAGAAUCCCAUUUCCCAGCAGCAUCUCCAGAUGGGUCUGCAAUUUUCAGGAGGCGGGCAACCCUAUCAGCUUCCGCUUGAAGCUUUGAUAGCUCCUUUGAGAGGCGGUCUCCUUUGUCUUUAACUGCACACCACAACAACAAAUAUUAGUGCUAUUAUGUACUCAUGGUCUCGGCUAUCAGAGGUUGUUCUAACAUUUUACUCCUUGAAAACAAAGUGCAUCAACAUCCUUGGACGGAAGCUGUCGUGCAAGAAUGCCCGCUCUAAGACAAAUGACAUACCAAUUUUCGUGGAUACGGUUGACAUGAAUGCAUCCAGAGGAUCUAUAGAUUCCGAGGUGAUAUUGCUUUCUUCUUUUGUACUUGAUUUUGCUUUCUCAGCCUCUAACUCAGCCGACACAACAUCCAUUUCCUUUGCAAGCACAUCUCUUUUCUCGAGAAGAGUCUCAGCUGUCUCCACCACUUGAGUGGUUUCUGCUUUAUUGGACCUCUGUUUUCGCUUGUUCGUUCGAUCAUAGAACUCAUCGUCACUGAAAAUGGUACCAAACACAAAACUGGAUUUUAGACACACCCACACCCAAAACAUGCUGUGCUCUGCCAAAUUCGUGCAAAGAUAUAGAUUGAGGGUAGAAUUUAGUACCUAGCAUCUUCGUCCUCCUCGUCCUCAAAAUGAGGUUUCUUUUUUGAGAGAGACUUCCCUGAACGCGCACCUAAACUUUCUCGAAUACUCUCGUUAAGGGUUUCCUCUAAGCUUUCCAACUCCUCCAUGAGCUGAAACAAGUCCAAACACAUCACAAGCUGAGCUGUUUGCAUUUUCAGAACCGCCACAUAGUAACACUCACUAUGCUCAAGGUGAAACCGUGAUCAACAGAAACCGAGGGAAUAUCCAAAGGAGUCACCCUAAUGAAAACGCUACAACAUUACUGUCUUAUAUCAUAUACUUGCAGAACCAAACACCGCACAACAUCCACAAAUGCCGUCCCUCUAAUAAUCUUUGGAAAUCUGGCAAAAACUGGUAUAACAUCAAACAAUCACCUAUACAACUGUACAGAACCACUGCUGAUGAAAAUAGAAGCACUCCGCCAGGUAGGUCACUGACCGCUUCAAUACGUUGCUCAUUGCGUGCAAUUUGUGUCUGUUGACCUUGAGUAAGUCCCCCUUGGCUACCUUCUUUGGCUCUAAUUGCAUCAAUCUCUUUGUUCAAAUUGCCCAUCUAACAGCCAGAACAUAGUAUCAAACUGUAAGAACUAAGUUUAAAUAUGCGUACAUGUAGAUAUUACACAUAACUUGCAAAGCAGUCUUGUGUCAAAUUACAUUAAGUAACUGAACAAGUAAUCCAAAGAGAACAGCGUACUUCUCCUGGAUUGAAAACACUUUGUGCCUUCAACAUGUAGAUGAAAUGCAAAUUUAUGUCCCAUUGUCAGAGAAACGUGACUAAAAAUACCUUUUCAUGUCGUUUUUGAACUUUUUCGAGUGUCUUUUGCUGUUUCUCUGUAAGUGAUCCCUUGUAAGUCUGCCAAGUCACUUCGUCCAGGUCCUCCUGCAUGACGUCCAGCAUCAUAUCAACACAACUGUUCUGCUUUUUUACCACUGUACUCCUACAUAGCAAAUUCACAUCAUAAUGGUUUCAUGGUCCCACAGCAAACCAUGAUUUGAACACAAAUAUCUGACCGCUCAUGCUAGAGUGUUCACCUCUUCCUCUUCAGCUUCAGCAUCCUCCUGCAUGCCCCAGCUAGCACCCUCCAAGGCUGAUGCCUCCGCUUUUGCUCGCCGAAGGGACAUUUCUCGCAUGUGUGCUUCUGCAGCUCCGGCUGAAUGCCUCUCCUGUGAGGCGUUUCAAAGAUUUAGAUACUACAGGGUAUCAGGGUCGAGGUAUCAGAGCAUUAAAAACAUAGUGGAAAUGGUACUGAAUGGAAUAGUAGUACUAAUAACAAUAAUUAUAAUCUUGAAAAUCCUGACGUACUGAUAGCAAUUAUUGGUUGCGAACCUCCCUUCCCGAAAACGUGUCAUUCUAAUCAAUGGUAUAGAAGAGGAAGAUGCAAGGACCAAGAAUUUUCAUAGCAGCCAGUUGUCUAAUUAACUAGCUAAGGCUAACUCCUCCACAAAUGUACUUUAAACCUUGCCUAUUGAACUCAAGUGCAUAACAGUAAACAAAACAAACUGAAGCACCACGAUCAAUCACAAAGAAAAAAGAAGAAAUCUACCUCGGGCAUAAGUUCGCUUGGGCCUUGGAGCACGUACAAACGGAUUGAGCUAAAAAUUAAAAGCAAGUGCACCGUAAGACCAAGUUGCAAGGUUUGGUGAUACCCUGAAAGCUUGAAGUUGAAGAUUAUGAUCUCAAAACUAUAAAUAAAUAAAUAAAUAAAUAAUACAUUACACAGAGAAUAUAGAAGGAUUAUUGUCUUACAGGCCAAAGCGAAAAAUUGCACCCACAUGAACUGGAGUAUAAACUCUGGGCUUCACCUGCGGGCUCCAACAUUGUCGAGGUUGAAGGGCAAAAGACUUCUUCUCCUUGACAUGUGGAAAAUAAUAACAAGAACUAGCGACAAGAAAAAGAACAAUAGAACGAUUCAGGUCAAACAAGGUGAAAGCAUUCCAUGUUUCUAGUCCCAUAAAAAGAACGGGGGCAAAAUGCCAAACCUGACGCUUGUUAACAAAAGUACCAUGCGUACUCCCGAGGUCGUAUACAAAGGCUUCUCCUUUGUCAUUGUACUGCAGAACUGAUCAACCAGAAAACAAAUACAAUCAAGACCCAAAUCAACUCUGAACCCUCACGUUAGAGUUUAAGCAAUUAAAAUUUGCAAGGAGUCUAAGCAAUUUUCAAGCUCCAUAUGAUGAGGGUAUCCAGAACGAAACACCUUCUUUACAAAUGUGCUGAUUACUCCAAUAGACAUGAAAAAUCUUCCAAAUUUAACUUUAAAAUCCUCUAUAGCUAUGGUAAGGAAGAUCGUAAACAGAUCGCCUACGAAAGAUCCCACCAAUUGAGCUCAGAAAUCCUGGCCCAAACCUUGGAGUAAAGAAAUGAAAAAUACUGUUCUGAAGUGAAAUACCUGCAUGGUAGCGGGACGCGCUCGGAUGCUCUAAGAUGAAGUCACACCGGUCGCUGCGCCCAAACAUGUAAGCUCCUUUGCUCGAUCUAAACAAGUGAAUAUAUAGUUGGUUUCAGUUAGUAAACCAAAGGAAGAGUAACAACUGAGCUUGAAAACUGCUGCAGAUGAGACAUUCAAAAGAUUCUUCACUCUUUUUACAUACGGAAAAAAACAUAUCGUUACAAAAGCAUUGGGCAUCGCAAUCUAUUUAUACAAUUCUUACGACUGUUAGAGCAUGGCAAGGAGAACAUACACAUCAAGGUUGCCCAGAAUAACGCCUUCCUUCAGAACUUCAAGCAUGAAGGGAUGAAUAGGUGCUGCGCUCCAUGUGGGUAUCACAUAGGGUACGCCCGAAGAAGCUGGCUCCAAUGAAGCCUUGCUCAUGGAUGCUUCCAUGGCCAUCACCGUACUACUACCCUCUUCAUCUAAAGGCUUCACACCUACAGAGAUAUUUGCUGUUGCUGCAAUGCAACACAUAAGUUAACCUAAGCCCAGAGAUGAGAUCACAAAAAACUCGCUCAGAGUGUCCAGAGAGACUUGAAAAUCUAGUUGCAUAUUAGUUAUGAACCACAUUUAGGGUGGCAAACAAUAUAAUGCUCUCUCAAAUCGCAGCUCACAUCAUUGAUUUCUCGAGGCCACUGAAUUUACAAGAAACCAAGCACUUCCCAUUGAACACUGAGUUCGGACGCAGGUUUGUGUAAGAUCCCCUUACUCACAGCAUAGUGAUUUAAAAAGGUAGUCUACGCUAAAGCUUCAACUGAUGACGAGUCACCGCAAGAUUGUUCAGAGUAUACUUCCAAUCCUCAACACGGCAACAAACUGUUUGUUCAAACAAAAAUGCUGUGAAGUCAUGUUUCCCGUAUGAAGUCUACACGCAUGAGACAGUAGCGCACCUUCCACAGUCGAACUUUGAACAAUCUCCUUCACUUCGUCUUUACUAGAUUUCACCCGCAUUGGUGGGGGUCCCAUUGGACCCGGUAAGUUGGCUUUUGUAAACUUGGAAGGAGGCAUCGAGGGUGGGGGCAUGGCAGACGGAGGUUUAAAGGAUGGAGGUCCCAUUCGCUUGGGCUCUUUAAACACGGGAACUUUGGGCGGACCUCCUCCAACUUCAGUAGAAACUAAAUUUGAAAUCGUCACUCCUACCUUAGCAAUCGACUUCAAACUACCAACCUCCAAUUCACUACCAUCAUUGCCAUUGUUCAACUCCUCACGACACAUCUCGAUCUCGGUUUUCUGGAUAACAGCCGGCUCCUUUCCAGAACCAGAAUUGUCUGUACCGGGUGCAAGAGAAUCCAUGACGGACUAAAACUCUCGACUAACAGGACGCACAGCUAAAAAGUAAUAUUUCCGCGGAAAAAAAAAAAAACAAAAAAAAACAAAAACAAAAACAACAACAACAACAACAACAACACACUCACACACACGAAAAAAAGCAGCAUUCGCUGCCAACAAAAAGAUUGGCCAAAUUCAAGAAAAACGAACAGCAGCAAAAAUUUCAACACGUAACUAGAAAAAAUUAUUAUUAUUAUUAUUAUAAAAAUAAAAAAAUAAACUCUUACUCAACUCAGUGCUCUAAUCUCAAAUUCCACACCUCCUCUAAAUGACCGACACGCUCGGUGCGAUUCUCUCCCAACAGCAAACAACAAAGCAACUAACUCACAAUUCUACAAUUCCACUCAACCACGGGAACCCUCUCCAUCACCAAUCCUGGAACAACACAUCAUCACAGCAGGUCUUUAUAAAGCAAACAGAAAAAACGAUAAUCCGCGAGAUUUAUCAAAAAAACGCAGAACACGAAUCAGAAUUGUAGCAAGUAGAGUGUGCUAACGUUGCUUGCGACGAUCGGACAGCGAUCUCUCCAUCUCCACACACAGGAAAAUUGCAGUCCUGGUCAUUUCUCGGUGGUUCUAAGAAACCCUAAACCUUUCCUAGUUCCUGUCCCCUAUUUCCGUGAAGUGUCAUCCGGGUGCCGUGUGAAUGGGAGCAUAAUAAGCCACGCUGAGGCUCCCUUCCUAUAUAAUUUUGUAUAUUAAGAUUGCUCAAUGCAGACAAGUAGUGGUUCUUGAUGGUUGCAUGGAUGGAUCUUUAUUUUCAUCAAAAAAGAUCACCUUCUCUGGAGUUGAGUUCACAGGUCAUUUUACAAAGUUGAGUUCACAGGUCAUUUUACAAAGUUCACAAUUUGAUUUAUAGAUUGUUUUAUAGAGCUUUGCAUUGUAGAGCAAGUGCCUUUAUGUCAUUUAGUUUUUUUUUUUUUUUUUUUUUUUUUUUUUUUUGUUGUAGGCUCUUCUCAAUACUAGGGUUGCCUCAACAGUUGUGGAGUUAAUUUUUAACAUAGCUGCUAUCGUUUUCUUUUUGAACCCUCUACUUAAUGUUGGAGUAUGUUGAGAGUAUAUUCAUUUGGAUAUUAAUUUUUUUUUAUCAAGGACAAGAAUUGAAUGAAAACAAAUAAUCAAAUGAGCCUCUCUCAAAGAAAUAUGACAAAAUAGAAAUAGAAAAAUAUGUAUAUUAAAAAGAAAAUUAGAAUGGCUAUUGCCAAAAGACAAGAAAAUUAGAGACUCUUAAAACUAGACUAGAAGCAAGAAAGGAAUUGACAAGAGUGAAGAAGGCUUCACACUUGCUUUAAUAUAUACUAUCUAUCUAGGAUCUAUAUAGCGACGUUCUACACAACCUCUAAAAAUAUAUUGACUUUACAUGAUAUGUAUCUUAACUUGAAAGGCAAGUUUUCUAUAUGAAUGCUAUAUAAUUAGCUUGUUCCACAAGCUAUCAACACAUGUGAUACAUGGUUUGCUUGUUGACCAAGUUUCUAACCUACCAAUUAAUUACAAACACAUGUAAAAUCAAAACAACAUUUAGGAAGCUUCUAAAAAGCUUUCUAUAAGGUAUUAUGAAAUUAAUCUACUUUUAUCUACUUCUACUUAUUUAUAUUACAUAGAUAACAAUUAUAGUAGAUAUGUAUCCAUGACAUUACCUCUCCUUUUAGAGACGAGUUCUACAAGAAGCAAUGAUUACAUAUUGAAGAAGUUUAAGCUACAACAAAUUGUAUUUAUCAUGUACUCUGUUCUUUAAUCCUUUCAAAGGUAAUUGAUAGGUCUUCUUAGCCAUUGAUAAUCUCCCAUUCUAGGGCGAAAAGAUCACCUUGUUAUUUCAUCAUUGUUAAAACCUUUGUAACUUCCUUCAAACAAAACAUUUAUAAUACCAUCAGGAGUUGUCUCUAUCUUCAGUAAAACCACCAAAUAUUGAGAGUCUCUUUUCAAGUCAUGAUACCAGACGUGUUGUAUCUUACUAUCUAUUUGAGAAAAAACAUGGCGUUCUUGAAGGUUUUUAUUCCUACUAUGUCAUCUUAAAGGCUAUAGUAAUUAUAAUGUCUCAUCCGAUAAGUUAAUAAAUGAUGGCUCUUGAGUUGAAUCUACUAGUUGUUGAUUCUUUAUCUCUUUAAAGCCAUAGUUAUACAAAAAUUGCAAACAAAGAUAGAAUGUAGAAUGCAAUCUUUCCUAAAUUAAGUUUCUUUUAUAGCAAAGGUUUGUUAUUAUUUAUCUUAGUUUUGUUUGAUGUUGUUGAUGAAAAGCUUUGACCUUCUCUCUUAUAUUUGUAAGAUUUUUAAACAAAUUGUAAUAGAUUCUUAAACAAAUUACAAUUAAAGAUUAGCAAAUAUAAUCAAACAUUGAUAAAAUUCAAUCAAAUUUUCAAAGGAAUUAUGUAAGAAACACAAAGUAUUCCUAGAGAUCCUUUAAAGAAUCAUAAAGAAAUAAUAUAGAAAUUCAAAAAUAUACUAAAAUAGAAACCUUAUUUAAAUCCUAAUCAAAACUUAAUUAAAUUCUAGUCAAACCCUAGUCAAAUCCUAGUCAAAUCCUAACCAAAUCCUAAAUAAUUCCUAACAAAAUCCUAAAUAAAUCCUAAACAAAUCUUAACCAAACCCUGAUCAAAUCCUAAAUAAAUCCUAAUCAAAUUUUAAAUAAAUCCUAAAUAAAUCUUAAAUAAAUCCUAAUCAAAUCCUAAAUAAAUCCUAACCAAAUCCUAAUCAAAUCCUAAACAAAUCAUAAAUAAAUUCUAAACAAAUCUUUAAAAAAUCCUAAUCAAAUCUUAAAUAAAUCCUAAACAAACCUUAACCAAACUCUAAACAAAUCCUAAAUAAUUCCUAAAUAAAUCCUAAAUAAAUUCUAAUCAAAUACUAAAUAAAUCUUAAUCAAAUCCUAAACAAAUCCUAACCAAAUCCUAAACAAAUCUUAAUCAAAUCCUAAUCACUUUCUAAACAUAUCCUAACCAAACCCUAAAUAAAUCUUAACCAAAUCCUAAUCACUCCCUAAACAUAUCCUAACCAAACCCUAAAUAAUCCCAAAUAAUUCCUACGGUAGAUUUAAACCUCAAUAAUUAAUGUAUAAACCAUUGAUUUUAACUCAAAAUUUGCACACCUCUUAAUAAUUAAGUUAAAAUCAAGUAAUUUUUUUUUAAAGAAGAUCGACCUUAAUAUUUGCUUGAAUAUUGGCGAGCCUUCUUCUCCAAUCUGAAUAUUGAAUUUCUAGCACUAAUAUCUCCUUAUCAAACUAUUCAAUUGAUCUCAAAUUUGUCACAUACAUACAAAAAUAAGUCUACUACCCACACACAUAAUUUUUACUCUAAUCCAACUGAUAGAUUGCAAGAAAACUUAGAAAUCCUCACUCAAAUUAAAACUCGUCUUUCCAAGAAUCUGACCACUUUAAACAUCAAUAAUCUUCAAUCCAACCCUUCAAUCAAGCUCAAACUCACAAAAUAUAUUGAAUACAUAUAAACCGACGAACUUUCAAAAUUUCACCUAUGGAUCUACUGCCAAACUUACAAAAUUCUCCAAAAAGUAUCUCCCUUUUUAUUUCACAAAUCCACAGUCACCCAAAACAAACCUUGACUUUGCAAAGCUCUUACAAAUUUAUUGUAAAUUCAAAUCACUCUAGAUCAAUAUGUAUCAAUAUUCUAUCAAGUCUUCUCUCUAAUCCCAUUCUUUGAUCUGCCAAAGAACCCUAGAAUCAUCAUCAAGACUU